GGAACGAUGAACUCCCAAAUCUUGUUAAACAAAAAAUUCUCACGCACAACAGUACCCUAAAAUCUAGACUUUUUCAUUUUUCUCACACUCAAAGAAUCACAUGAAAGUGAAACACCCAAACUCGUUGGAAACAAAGAAAACAGAACCAUUCCAACAAAUUCAGUAGUGGGAGGACCCUAAUUAUCAAGACAUAAUUCCACGGAGUGAUAUCGAGGCCUUCCUCAAACAACAAACCGAGGAGUCUAUUAUAUUCUCAAUAGAAGCUUCAAUUUUACGGUCCUCAAAAGUUUCUUUUCUUCUUCUUCUCACGUGCAAACCGCCAUAAAUUAAAUAGAAUCUAAAUCCAUGGAUGUCAAUCACAACAUUGAUGGUGGUGCAACUAGGGAUGCAUCUCGUCGAAGCUGAUGAAGAAACGUUUCAGAUGGCACAAAGAACAAUGGUAUAGACUGACUUUAAUUAUUUGCCGGUUACCGGUUAAUGGGUUUUGAAAGGAGACUGACGUGGACCAAUGAAAAAAAAAGUAAUAAAUAGAGAGUGUUUGAGAGACUGUAGAUAGCAUUCCUCAUUAGCACAAUGGCCGAUUUUUAUAAAACCAAAGGACAGCCAGUUGUCAUUUUCAAUGUUAAAUUGCACUCCACAUUUACAUAUUAUGAUAUUGGCAUGCUUCGAUUUAUGUAGUAGAUAAAUAUGACCUUGGUCCCGUGGCUUGGCCCCCAUAUUAAAGAAGGCUCGCCAAACUAACCAAAUUUUUGUGCGUAUAUGUAUAAAGUUAAAACGUGAACUUUUAUUUGGUGCCGCAGAUGUACUACUACACUUCGUAGUUCCAUAAAUCUUCAAAAAUGUAUUUAUAGUUAUUUACAGACUCAAUGAAUAUGCUUAGUCCCCUUAAGCAUGUAGUCAACUACCGGCGCAUAUGAAAAAAUUCAGUUGGAAGGAAGAACCCAUCUUGUGCGUUCAUAAAUUCUCCGACAUAGAUUAGUCGUCAUUAAUCGACGAUGAAAAUUUCGUAUCAAUAUCAUGAUCACGGAAAAAGAAAUAUGCUUAGUGUAAACUUUUGUACAUAUAAUCAAUUUUAAUCGUAAUAAAAAUUAUUUGGCUUUAAUCAUAACCAUUUUAAAAAUCAAAUGUAUGACUGAUUGUGAUUUGUUGACGUGCUUAAAACUAAACUCACUAUUUAUAUUUAUCUAUCACGUUACGACAGUAUUACUACCUAAUAAUGAACCAUAAGCAUUACUAUUAGUUUUAGUACGUGUUAUGAUAACCAUCCGAAGCAAGACAAUUUUUUAUUAUGGAUCAUAUAAUCAUAGGUGAUGUAAUUCUGAAAAUGUCAUCCAUCCAUAUUAUAAUUAGCACGGAUUUGAUAUAUUAACCCAGUAAAUAUCAUAUUAAGAAUUGGCAAUUUUCUUAAUGCAAAAAAUACUUUCUUAACAUCAUUCAUACAUGCUUUUUGACAUCUUUCUUAGUGCAAAGAAGUAGCUUAGGUCAUCCCUGAUCCCACGCAUAGGAAGGAAGGAUUUGGCAAAUGUUUGGUAACCUAUUAAUCUUGAGAGAUAAUGUGUGUAUUUUUAAAGGUCUCUCAAAAAGUUAUAAAAAAAUUAUAUAUUUAUACAACUAUUUUUUAGUAACUUUUGAGACACUAUCUCUUUGAUACUUAGAAUAUGCUCACUCUCUUUCUAUUUAUUGUUUGUCUCAAUAAAGGAAGAAAAAAAAAUCAAAACUAUCACAAAAAUGGUUGCAUAAAUAUAAUUUUUUAAAAAUAAAAUGUUAUAAUAUUUUUUUGGAGUACGAUUAUUUUUAUCAAUAACUAAACACGAACUAGGAGACUUGUAUAGGUCUCUUACCGUGAGAGAGCUUGUUCAUUUUAUUUUUUUUUUCCUUUUCAAAAUGGAUAUGGACCUUAGGAUGUAGUUUAUUUAAUUGGAUGGUAGUGAUUUAUAGCUGAAGUGACCUGAUUAAAUUAAUAUUGUUGGAAAAUAUUAUAGAAUUGAUGGUAUCAUUUACAAAGGGUGAUUUAGUCAUUGAACCAAAUUAUUAUUGAAAAAUACAGGAUUAUCAUUUAUGGCAGUUUAAUUUUUAUCAUUAAAGUAUAUACCUCACAGUUACAACAAUUUUUAGGAAAGAAAAUCACUAAAUUAUCUAGUAAUCAAACAAAAAUAUUUUCACUAAUUUAAACCACACUGAAUGGGAAGCAAAGAUUAAAUUUAUUAUUCCCAACCAUGAUUAAAUUUAUUUUUCACAAAUUCUAUAUAGCUUUUUAUGAGUUGAAAUUGGGAAAUUCAAGUAGCUUCAUCUUCCAUAAACCAAUAAAUUCAUCCACAAACCAAUUAUCCACCCUGAAAAUCAUCCCUAAACCCAGAAUGAAUCCCCAAAUCCAUAAAAGGAAUCUACCACAAACUCAAUACUCAUCUUCAUCCCACAAAUCCCCAUACCCGAAUUCAAAGCAAACUACAUAGUCAUCCUGAAACCCAUAAAUCCCUAAAUGAUGAAAUUCUCAAUUGUUUACAUGUCCCUAGUUUAUUUAAAUCACGAAUUUGUCAAACCCAUAAACUUUGAAGUUGAAAAUGUCUAUGAGAAGGGAAGAAGAAGAGAAAAAAGCGAUGAAUUGAAACUUGUUUGACGAAAAUUAUAUUUAAUUCAUGUUUUAUUUAAAAAUUAUAAUUUUCUUACACAUGACAAUCUUACCAAGACUAGCUUCCGUUGUAUGACAAUUCCCCAAGAACUACUCUCUAUGUUUCUUUUAAGUGUCGUUUUGAAAUAUUAACACCAAACAAUUGUCAAUUUAAAGAUAACAAGAAACAAACUUUGUUUUAAAAAAAAACUUUAGUUUUUCAAAUUUAUAACUUUAAUUAGUUUUUUGAAAAAGAUAAGAGUAAUCAACAAAGGGUAUAAUUGAUAAAUUGUAUCCUUAAAAUAUCAAAAUGACGGUUAAAUAGGAACGCUAAAUUCACAUUCAAACGACACUUAAAAAUGAACGGAGGAAGUAAUAUUCUUAUAUAUGACAGUCUUACUAAUACUAACUUUCGUUUUAUGUGAAUCUUCUUAAGAAGUAAGAUUUUUAUCUAUGACAAUCUUAGUAAGACUAACUUCUUUUCUAUGCGAAUCUUUUACAUUUAUGAAUUAAAUAUUAUAAUAUUCUCAUUUAUGGUUGUUAAAAUAUGAAUUAAAAAUGAAUUUUUAACAAAACAUGAUAUUACAUUUAUGGCCGUUAAAAAUUUAUAUUUAAUUCAUGUUUUGUUUAAAAAUUCUAAUUUUUUUUUGUGAGAUCUUUAUGAUAUUCUAAACAUUUAUGGCCGUCCAAACACUAAUUUCUUAUCUAGAAGAAUAUUUCAAACGACUAACAUCCGUUCUAUGAGAAUCAUCAAAACACUAAUUUCUUAUCUAUAAGAAUAUUUCAAAAGACAAACAUACGUUCUAUAAGAAUCUUCUCAAGACUAACUUCUUAUUAUAAGAAUAUUUCAAAAGAGUAACACAUGUUNNNNNNNNNNNNNNNNNNNNNNNNNNNNNNNACUAACUUCCUAUUUAUAAGAAUCUUUCAAAAGGUUAACAUCCGUUCUAUGAGAAUCUCCCAAACACUAGUUUCUUAUCUAUAAGAAUCUUUCAAAAGACUAAGAAACAUUCUAUGAGAAUCUUUCAAAGACUAACUUCUUAUCUAUGAGAAUCUUUUAAAAGACUAACAUACGUUCUAUGAGAAUCUUCUUAAGACUAACUUCUUAUCUAUAAGAGUAUUUCAAAAGAUUAACAAACAUUCUAUGAAAAACUUUCAAAGACUAACUUCUUAUUUAUAAGAAUCUUUCAAAAGACUAACAUCUGUUAUACGAGAAUUUUUCGAAACCCUAAUUUCUUAUCUAUAAGAAUCUUUGAAAAGACUAACAUCCGUUCUAUGAGAAUCUUCCAAACACUAAUUUAUUGUCUAUAAGAAUCUUUCAAAAGACUAACAUCCAUUCUAUGAGAAUCUUCCAAACACUAACUUCUUAUCUAUAAGAAUUUAUCAAAAGAUUAACAUCUCUUCUGUGAGAAUCUUUCAAAGACUAACUUCUUAUCUGUGAAAAUCUUUUAAAAGACUAACAUACGUUUUAUGAUAAUCUUCUUAAGACUAACUUCUUAUCUAUAAGAAUAUUUAAAAAGUCUAAGACACGUUCUAUGAGAAUCUUUCAAUGACAAACUUCUUAUCUAUACAAAUCUUUUAAAAGACUAACACUUGUUCUAUAAUAAUCUUCCAAAGAUUAAUCUUAAAACUUUGUUGUUUAGAAAUAUUCUUUUUUUGAUAGUGAGUUUAGAAAUAUUCUAAUUUAAUUCAUUGCAUGUGAAAAAAAUCUAAUUUUUUUAUAAAAGAGUUCAUUUUAAUGCUUAACAUUUAUGUAAAAAAGCGUUAAAAAAUUAAAAUCUUUAAGCAAAAUUAAACAAAUUUUAAUUUAUAGGGACUAAAACAUGUAAAAAAAAAAUUUAAGAUCUAAAAACAAUAUUCAAUAUAUUUAUCGGGACUAAAAACUUAUUUAACUCUUGUUGUCUAUUGAUCAUUCGAUUAAUAAUAUUCAAUUAUUUUUUUAAAAAAAAGUCAUAAUAUUCAAUCUACAGUAAAAACGUGAAUAUAUUUUCAACUUCCUCGUUAUAUUUCUCUAAAGAAAAAAAUGAAGUCAUUAUAUUAAUGACGUUCAAAGGAAUAGCAACGAUGUUGUAAUCAUUACAGAUCUGGUGGGAAAAUAAUUUUUUUAUUUAAGAGGAUAUUCCAAGGUUGCCCUGCACUUAAAUGAAUAAUUUAAAUAGAAUUUACCUCCAACAACAAGUUACCAAUGUACAACCACCUCCAAACACAAGUUAUUUUAGUAGCAAAAAAAAAAAAAACAGUCUUUUAUAUAGUCUCCUACCGUAGGAGACCUAUUCACGUCUCCUACUUAGGGUGGGAGACCUUCUCAGGUCUCCUACAGUAGGAGACCCUCUUAUUUUUUUUAUUAUUUUUUUACAACUAAUAUGAUUUUUUAAUGUGAAAAUAAUAGGAAUGCUUAUUGACCCUUAGAUCAAAAUUAAAUGAUCGAGAUUAAAAGUCUCUUUUAAACAACACAUGUUCCUUGCCACAUGGUAUCGUUCUUGUACUGUUGCCUUUCUUUCUCUUCUGCAAAUUUUUCUUCAUUUCCUUCUCAUACCUUUUCCAUUCAUUGAUUGGCCUUCCUUGCAACCACAACAAAGACAUCUAGUGGCGGCGUUAAGAACAGUUUGACUAAGAAGCAGGAGAGAGAAAGCAGCAACGUUGUAGAUAGUAGAAGCGUCGGUGGUGUAGACACCGCCGUAGACAGUUUUUACAAUUUUUGCUGAUAGGAAAAAUGGAUCGGAUGUUGUUUCAAGAAUUUGAAUUUGUAUAACAAUGGUGAUUAUUGAUUGAUUCCAUUUUCUUACCGUUUUUGCUUUUCUUGUGAUUGAUUCCAGAAUUUACACCAAUUUAUUUUCUUCUACUGUAAAAAUACAAUUUUUGUUGACAAAGGUGUGGAUAUUUCCAAAAUUAAAAUGAACCUACAGUGUGUAAUAAGAACUCUCGACUAAAUUCAAAACAUAAAAAAGCUUAAGGGAAAAAAGUAGCUGAAUAAAACCCAGGAAAAUGGAAGAAAAUGAUCUGCAUAUACGUUUCUCUCUCAUUCAAUUGCAAUGCUUUUCUCUUUUUAUCAAUAAACCGUUGAAUUAAUCCAAUAACUCCUAUUUAUUUAGCAACCAAACAAAAAAAUAGUAGUCAAAUCUCCUGCAGUAUGAGAUAGGGCUGGACAAGAAUCCAAAACCCGACCGUAACCCGAAAAACCGAGUUGAAAAAUGGAUAAACGGUUAGGUUUGAACGGGUCGGCGGGUUAUCGGGUGAACAAUCACUGUUUUGUGUGAGUAUAAAUGGACGGUCUCGGAUAUCAAAAACCAAUCCAUUGAAAUCCGAAACCCGACCGCUAGCAAUGCCCAUUGUAUACAUAUCUGAUUUUUUCAGAGACGUGACAUGAAAACAGUGUCUUAAGACCCACACUUUGAAAAAAAGUAACAAUAUCUUCUUGGAAAGCGUAUCAAUAGUUCAUUACAGCAUCAAGUAACCAACUUACUAAUUAUUCUUAUUUUAAUUUUUUGUAUGAUCUUGUAAAAUGAAAAUACUCACUCAUUCUUGCCAAUUGUUUAUUAGUUCCUCCAUUUUAAAAUAAGUGUCUCUUUAGCCAAAAAUAUUUAUUUUAAAAUAAAUGUCACUUUAUAUUUUUAAUAUCACUUUAAUUUUUUUCUUCCAAUUUUACCUUCCUCAACUUUUUUCUCACACAAUUUUCAAUGCAACUUUAAGCUUAUUAUUUUUUUAUAAAAUAAGGGCAGUUAGUAAAAGUGUUACGUCUAAUGAUUAUUUCAUUUCAUUCCUUAAUAUAUGUGCAAUUGGCUAAAACGACAUUUAUUUUAAAACGGAUGGAGUAUUUUCUCUCACCGUCUCUAAAAUUAAUUUCUUUAUGUAAUUGUAAACUAAACCCUUUAAGAUUGAGACCUUGCUUCUCCCUUCUUCUCUCUCAAGACAAACCACCCACGUCCCCACCUGCCUUUCUUUUCUUAUAUCUUUUAUUAUGAUUCAUGAGACUAUGAGAUUCACUUCCUCAUACUAUUGUAGUACCAAUCACACUGUUUGAAUUUAUUUUCGAUUUUGCAUCUCUUUGUUAUCUCUUCAUAUGUUGUGCAACAGCAAUCUUCUCUCUUCAUCUCUUUUUUACUCUCUGUCAAUUUUUAUUAUCUUUUCUUCUGUGAUGGAUUUUUGGUUACAAAUAAUAUGAAGAUAAUGACUCAAUGAAGUAUCCGAAGUAACCCACCCAACAUAACCGUCACCCGUCGAAACCGAAAUCCGAAAAAAACCGAAGCUGCUAACGGACGAAAAUGGGUCUGGAAAGCUCAACCGUGGGUUUGAACGGAUUGGCAUUUUCGGUCCGUCACCGACCGAAACCGACCGUUUGUCCACCCUAGUAUGAGACUUAAAGAGAUCUCCCACCGUAGCCUUUGCGAACUCCAAUGAUUUCCCAUACCUAUGUGGACCGUGAGAUACAGAGUGAUGUCAUUUUUUUGGUACUUUACAACAACAUACAACUAAUUUCUGGUCGUUUAAAACUGUCCUUAAUUUUAGCGUCAAAUCUUAUCCUAUGAGUUUGUGUUAUAUGAAAGACUUUAAGACAGUGACUGGCUAGUUAUCAAAAUCAGUACUGCUAUUUAUAAACGUCAUAACUUUGAUAAAAGAAACUACUCAUAGCAAAAGAAAAUUAAAUCACUAAUUCCUCCUAAAAUUGUUGUAGAGGAUUUACACAUCUCAAACUUACGAAUAGAUGAAGAAAAAAAAACCUCAAAUUUGAACAACAUUGAAUACGUUGCUAUUUCUGUUAACUUGUAAUCACUGGUUUGAUAGUAAGUUUAGGGACUAAUUUGCUAAUAAACCAUAUAAUCCAAGACUAGUUUACUAGUAAAUUAAUUUUAUAUUUCAAGAGCUUAUUUGAUAGUAAAUUUAGCAAGAUGAUCAAGUUCUUCGACAUAAUUUAAAAUUUAAGUAUUUUUUUUAUUAAUUUUACCUUUUCAAUCGAUUUGAAUGUUCUAGAUUGUCGUCAUAUAUAAGGUGAUAGGUUUAUGGAUCCUCUUACUUAUAAGGUGUUCAACCUUUACUAUUUUAUCCGAUGUGGGACAUAUAACUCACUUGCAAACCAACAAAUAUUUUCCCAGAUCAAUUUAAUUGAAUACUAAGUGUACAUACUUUAUAAAAUUGUACACUAUUGUUUUAUUUUAGCAUUGUUCAGUUCUAUGUCUGUUCUUCCAGACACGCACCUCAUCGUACAAGGAUGCAAGUUUUGCCGCGCGGCUCAGCACGGGUAUCUCGACUAGUUAUCCCUAAGAAAAGAUUAGCUCAAAUAUUGGAUUUGAUAAAAUUUGCAAUUUUCUGCCUCAAUAGUGCAGGUCUAAUCAACUAUAAUAUUACACAGUACACUCCUCAGAAAUUAACCUUUAAAUUUAUCCCAAUAAAUGAAAAGAAACAAGAAGCGUAACAUUAAUAAACAGCAAACAUUUCAUGGGAAAAAAACUAACAUUUGACUCUGAUUUUUUUUAACUAGCAUGCGUGUUUUUACUCCAUACCGAUUGCAUAUAAUGCACCUAAAUAAAUUAGACAAAUAUUAGAAAUUAAUUGUUAGAUUAAUAUUUCUCUCCAACCGAGCUUGAAAUUUAGGAUCUUCAACUCAUCAUCUUUUUAUUUUAAAUCAGUAGAGUUAUCCAUAUACAAAUUAUUAUAAUUAAAUAUUAAAAGAGAAGAAGAAUUCACAGGUGCUGUGUUCAAGAGAAGAAAGAACGCAUAUUUGGACUGGAAAGAAGGUUGAAGUAUAGGGAUUAAAUGAUUAUGCUUUCAAUUAAAAAAAUUGAAAUAUGGUUUUGCCAAGUUAUUUAUUGAUUUAAUAAUCAUGAUAGCAUCAAACAGGGGUGGUAAUUAGGAGUGAGAAUAUUUUGCUAGGUCGAAGUCUAAUCCGAUAAAAAAAAAAAAAAAAAAAUCAAGGCAUAGGUAUAGUUUGUAGUGUCUUAUAGACUUACUUUUAAUUUUUAAGUGUGGGUUGAUUUUUUAAAAUCUUAUGAAGUUGAAAGCCUAUUUAAAGGCAUACUUUAUAUGAUCGUAUUUAUAUAAUUAACCUAGCUUAUGUUUAAAUAAACAAAAGAGUAAAUAGAUCAAUAAAAUUAAACUUUAUUUUGAUAUUUAACAUGGUAUUUUGACGUUCUUGUUUUAAAAGAUAUUUUAUUUCAAUUAUAGUUUGGUAUAAUACAUUUAAAUAUAUAAAAAAUUAAUGUUGAUUAAUAAACUUAAAUUACUGAAAAAACUAGCAAAUUUAUAAUUAAAUCUAAAGUACUAAAAAUUAAGGAUAAUAAGCAAGGUGAUCUUCAAGAGGACGGAAAUUAGUCACUUCAGAAACAAGAGAGGUUACGGUGAAAACUUGUGGAACUACUUAAAAAUUCUAGUGGAACUACCAAAGUUGGGAGUGAGAGGAUUAUUUAAAACAAAAAAGCUUUGCCCUCGUUAUGUUGGACCAUUCCAAAUCCUUUGUGUGGGUUCGAUAGUUUUUUUUUUUUUUUGAAAGGAAAAGAGUAUGCUUAUAGCAUUUCAUUAAUAAUUGUUUAUACAACGAGGUAAAUGAUAAUAAAUAUAGGGACUAGCUGAUAAUGUGAUAACCCCAGCAAGAGUGUGAGCUACCUCAUUUGCUUGUCUCCUGUUAAAACUCGACCUUAGAGUUUGAGAAGUGUGUGUUGAAGAGACUCUGGCAUGCUGAAAUCACUUGGCUAAAUUUUGUAACAUCAAUUCGACGAUGGUUAAAGGCAUUUGUUGUAAUCUUUGAAUCUAAGAUGAAAUCGACGUUGUCAGAUUGCAUGUUACUUAGCCAUUGUAAGGCGUGGAAUAAGUCUAAAGCUUCUCCUACGGCAACAGAACACAUAGGAGAGAUAGAUACAGUUUUAGCCAGCACAAAGGUGCCUUCGUCAUCACGGAUACAUAUGCCAAUACCUGUUCAGUUUAACGGAUCCGAAAAACAUUACAUUUCGGACGGCCUUGUUGUGGCCGCUGCCACCUGACCGAAGACAUAUCAGUCGUUGUAUCAGAAGAAUUUCGAGUUGUACAUGAACCACUUUGUCUUACCGGCGUUGUUGUUGUCAUCUGAUCAUUACGAACUGAAUUUGUUGAAGUGUUGUUGCAACUAGCUGCCGGAAUAGUAGUGUUAGCUGCAUACCAAUCCUCCAUAAGGUGACAAGCUCGAUCGACUACAUGAGCACAAGUUUCUGUGACAUCUUGCCAAAGCUUGAGAUUUCUAUGCUUCCAAAGGCUCCAUAGGACAGUUGCAAAUUAUUGACUAAAUUCUUGUGAAAGUUGAUGUAGCAAUUCGAAGAUGGUAUCAGUUAACAUUGCCUCCGCGACCUAUUUCACGUGUCUCAACUCAAGAAAUAUUUCUUGAGCCUCUUCAAGAAAAAGAAAAAAAAUCUUGAGUUGAAGUCAAACAUAACCUUCCAACCAAGUAGACUGUAUUCCAAAUAAAAAAAAAAAUUAAGGACAAGAAUUUAUGUUUUUGUUUAGUCUUUUGUCCUAUGUAUUAUCCAGUUCGUUGCCCCUAUAUUGGCCAAUCUCGUGACCAAUGUGUAAAUCAUAUAGGGUACCGUAAGAGUUGUCAUCAUGUCCGAAUUCCGAUUCCUUAUUUUUUUAGCAAAUGAAACUGCUCAUAUUCAAUUUGUGCAACCUUAAGUCAUAUUCAAACUAUGAAUUUGGAAUAUGAAUUGUGAAAUUUUCAUUCAACGGAUCCAAAUUGAGACUGCGUUUUAAUAGUAUUUUACAAUUUUUUGACCAGACUGAAUCUUUGCAUCAUCUUAUAGCAAAGAAACCGUGAAAGUGAAUCAUGUGCACAUGGUGAUGGUUUGCAAGUUGGACGGUAGUACUUGAAUCACUUUCAAUACAAAUAUUUUUGAGUAAAUCUCCCUGCAAUUUCUUGUUUGUAAAUUUCUUUAUUCCAAAAAUAAAAAAUUGAAUGUUUAUUCAGUAGUCUUGUUAUCUUUAGUGAAUUACUCAUACAUCCACUUCAAUUCCUUUAUACUAUUUGAUAUGUAUCAUUAUCAUACUAGUACAAAUCUAAAGUUGAUUUAUCUUUAACAGUUUAUAAAACAACAAUAAAACAUGUAGAAUAAUUGAAGAAGUUUAUUAACAAUUCAUUCAUCAUUGACCUUAAAAAUUCUAUGAACUUCUUUCACCACAAACCAAUGUGAUUCAGUAAGUGAAAAAAGAAAAAAUGCCCCCAACAUUAAAGGAACACAACAUGUGGUUUCCCAAACUGAUAAAUCAACAAACCAAAAAAAAAAAAAAAAAAAUUAUCAGUUAUUACUUCUUCUAUAUGCUAAAUAAUUCAAGUAGUGGCUUUAACAAGAGGUGACUGAGGAAAUGGAGAAUGAGGUGACAUUACAAUAUCAUCAAACCUUCUUGUUUUAAGGCUUAACCUCAAAUUACUAUGCCAACAAGGUUUAGUGUUCUUCUCAGACACCAUAACCUCCUUAUUAUUCUGAACCACAAAUGACCUAAUCCUUUGUAAAGCAAUUUGCACAUCUCUAUCAUCCAUGUUAGCAUAACACACUCUAAACCACCCUGGCUCAGAACAAUGAAAAGAAACACCAGGUGAAACAUUAAUCUUAACUUCGUGAAUAAUCACUCUCCAUAGUUCCAAUUCUGAUUCAAAUGUAGCUUCCUUAAGAAGUCCUCUCAAAUCCAUCCACACAAAAAGUCCACCGUUACUUUGUAAACAAUUAAUUCCAACUUUGGUUAAUCCACUGGUGAAAAUUCUGUACCUUUGUGCUAACCUCUUUGCACUUUCAGUAAGAAACUUUUUAACGAACUCGUCAUCAGACAGCAUUUUCGCCAUCAAGUAUUGUGUCUGUGUUGAAACUAAUCCAAAACUUGACAUUUUUCGUGCACAAUUUACAACGGUAUCAUUAUAAGAGUAUAUUAUACCAACUCUAAAACCAGGGAAUCCCAUGUCUUUUGAAAGACUGUAAACUAUGUGAACGAGGUUACGGUCACAUUCAAUGUCUGUGUCAUGUUCUAAUAUUUCAGCUAUGCUUAUGAAACUUGGGUGGCUAAAAACCGUUGCAGCGUAAAUUUCAUCGCUUAUUAAGUGAAUACGCUUUUCGUUGAUGAAAUUUACAACGGUUCUUAAUGUGUUUCUGUCCAUAACUGUGCCUAAUGGAUUUGAGGGAUUUGUUAUGAGUAAACCUUUAAUUCUGAUGUUAUCUUCUGUGGCUUUUUCAUAUGCUUCUUCUAAGGCUUGUUUUGUUAAUUUGAAAUUGUUUGCACUUUCGCAGAUAACUGGAACAAGUUUAACCCCUGUUCUCCACCUCAAAUCUCGAUCAAAUCUGCAUUAAGAAAUCAAACAUCUCAUUAGAAAAUAAUUAACAUGUAGAUAUAUUAAAAUAUAUGACUAUGUAAUUAGUUUAAGCACAAAUGGUUUUCUUGUUUUAUUUUUGGUUUGUAUAGGAUGAAUACGAACGAAGUCAACAAAAAUAAAUAAUUGCUCUGAUGGCUUUUGAAUAUGAUAGUUGACUAUUGCAAACACAGUUGUAAAAUUAUUCCCUUGUUGAAAAAGUCAGUUCCAUCAAAAUUCACUACCAUGUCCAUGGCUUCUAAUGAUGACUGGAAUAUUAAAGUAAUAACUAAGGCUGUUUAGUGGAGAUUAAGUCUAUUUUAAUUAAAGAACAUGUUGGCGCACUUGAAAAUGUUCUACCUGCUGCCGCUUACUUUAUAGUGCAGUGAGCUACAAGUAAGUUAGAUCAAGAGAGAUACAUUUGAUCGCUCUUAACCUAAUGACCUACAGCUGACUGCACUAUAAAACAAACUACAGAUAAUUCUAGUUUAAGAUAUAUGAUAGCUACAUUUCACCAUCUUCUAAAUUAAAAUUAAUGGGCAAAACAAUAAUUGAUAAUAUUAUAAUUGGAAAACUUAAUUAAGAUCAAGAAAAGGGGUUGAAAUUGAAUUGAAUGUACAUACCCUGGAUAGUAAGGUGUAGGCACCAAAAAAGCAUCACCAGGAUCUGCCAAACAAAAGGCAGUGGCCUCAUGUGCUCCAGUUGCUCCACCACUCAUGACAAUACGAUCAGGAUCAAAUGUCACUCUAUUUCCUCUUGUUCUUGACAUGAAUUUAGCCACAGCCUGUAAAAAUUCAGAUUAAAUUUAUAUUAGUUUAUUUAUAUAGAUCAAAUUUCAUUCAAAAUUCUUGUUUUAUGUUACUAUUAUCACCACUCACAUUUCUGAACUCUGGUAGACCAUGAUAAUCCUGAAAAUUAGCCAUUUCUUUGAAAUUGUGUACUCCUUCUAGAGUACAAAUUGAGGCUUCUGGGUUACUCAUUAUCCAAUUUUGAACCAAAUCAGCAGUAAGCUGCAAAUAUAAAAAUAAUUGAAUUAGAAUUUAGAGCUAAAAAAUUAAUGCAUAAUACUUAUGCAAGUUCUCUAAAGUUUGAACGUGAAACUCAAAGCUUGAUAUAUACUAUACCUGAUUCUCUGCAAGACCCAUUUGGAUAACACCUUGAGGAUUUUUGGUUGGAUGAAAAGGGUUUUUAUCAUAAGCUUUCCAUCCAUCAAAGUAAGAUGAUGUUUCACCAUGUCCAUCACCAGUGGCUAUCUUGGACAACAAUUGAGGUUGGUCCAUGCUCACAAGUCCCAUUAUUAAUUACUAUAGUCUAAAAUAUUAAUUAAUUUAAUAGAAAAUGUGAUGAAAUCAAUGAGAUUCAAAAACAAAAACAAAAAAGUACGAGGAAGAAGCGAAUUUGUGUGGGAAUUCUUCUUAUGUUUGAAGGUGUAAGAAUAAGUUAGAAGAGAUUGCAAUGUGUAGGAAUGAAGUAUGGGGUGGUUAUUUAUAGCAUGCGCAUAUGCACAAAUAUAUUUUGAUUUUCAGACAUAAGAAUAUUUUUUUAGUUAGUCCAAAUAUAAAAAAGGAAGGUUCACAUGAAGGUAAUGGUGAGACCGUAAGAGUCUAGCUAGCAAAUAUAUUUUUUUGUUAAGCCUUUAAUUUUUAGGAAAAAUGGGUCAUAGGAAACCAAAAUCCAAAAAUUAUUUGGAAAAUAUGGACGAGUUUCUCCGGACACUCUUUAAUACUUUUAAAUGAUAAUUUUUUAUGAAAAUAUAUGUAAUUAAUGCAUUGAAAAUCAAAAUAUUUAUCCUUUUAUAAAAAAUAAAAAAAUUUAAAUCUUUAAAGAGUUUCUCCAACAAAACCUAACACUUCCUUUUAAGAAAAACUCUUUAAUCAUUUGAGUCUAAUCAAUCGAUUAAACGAUAUCUCCUAAUAAUAGUGAAUGAGCAAUUAUUUUUGGACUCUGGCAGCAUUUUCAGCUAUGAUGCCACGCCAGCAGCUUCAGUUGAAAAUUAGACAGAUGCUGGUAGGCAGACAAUAACUAGUAAUAAUUGUCGUUCAAAUAGCAAAAUGCCACUUGUAUUUUGUUUUUGUGUCAACAAAGUGGGAGAAAAAUAUUAGACUUCAAGUUUGUGAUGACCUUUGUAUUCAGGUUUUGUGUUGUACUACAGUUGUAUACGUUCCUAUGCAUAAUACUGUUUUUUUUUAAUAAUCAUAAGACGGAAUAUUACUUUUUAUUUGUAUAAUAAUAUUAUUAUGUACACCCAAAAAAAAAAGUAUAAUAAUAUUAGUAUAAUUGUUAUUUAAAAAAAAUAGUAUAAUUGUUAUUUAUUAUACAAUUGACAUAUAGUUUCACCUACUUAUUUGUAUUUUUGCGUACGCUCUGAUCUGUUAUCUAUUUGUUGGUGGAAGUUGAUGUGGCCAGGGUCAUAAAGAUGGGAAAGAGUUAUGGAUUGGACAGGGGUGCAGAGAUGAAGAUUAGUCUCUAAAUCAACAAAUUAAUUCCAGACUUUAUAGGACGUUCUCAAAUAGGUAAUUAGCAUUAUGAAUAUUUUAAAAAUAUUUUUGACUUUAUCAAAUCUUACUUAUAUUAGUUCUUUAAAAAAUAUGGUAUGAUUAAUUUGAUGGUGAAUGAUAAAUUUAUGAAUUAAAUUGAUAUUAAUUUUUUUUUUGCGGGAAAUCGAUAGUAAAUUGUUAAAAUUUAAUGACUUAAUUAAUGUAAAAUUAAUAGUAAGUGGUUAAAUAUAGAGAAUAGAGAUUGUUUUAAAAUACUCAUAAUCUUAUAGUUUAUUUGAGAGUGUCUUAUAGGGCAGAGACUAGUGGAUUAUAUGGUACACCCAAAUAUUUGAGUGUACCGAUACACCAAAUUGUUAAAUUAUUAAUUAAAUUAGAUGAAUUUUUGAAGAAAUCUAUCAUUGACAAUUAUAAAAAUUAAAUCUUAUUUACCAAAAUGUCGAUGAAAUUAAAUUAAAUUCUUUUGAAUUUUUAUUACUCAUAAUGAAGAUUAUUGAUUAUUUUUUAUGAGAAAAUGUUAAAAAUUUAAUAUGAUUCUUAUAAACAAUGAAAUUAUGUUUUUUUUUCUUAUGAAAUGAUGUUUUCUAAAGAAUAACCUUGACAAAUAGCUCUUUGCUUUCUAAAAUGAUCGUUAAUUUAUCAAUUUAUGAAGCAAGGAGUACCGGUACACCCCAAUUUGUGAGGUAUACCGCAGAAGAAGUUGCCUUAUUUAUUUAUUUGAUACCUGCAAACCAAAUUAUAUUAAUUGGUCGAGUAAAAAACCAUUAUAGAUAUUGGCAUGAGCACCAAUAAUUAUUUGAAAAAAUGAGGGGGAUAUGAAUGUAGAUUCAGAUAUCUUCGUAGUUAGUAAUCCAUCUACACAACACGCACUAAAAUAAUAUAUAAUAGUUUUUAUUGACAAAUACUUAAAUCAAUAUGUAAAUAUAGAGACUCAUUUCUAUGCACAAAAAGUCUAAAACAUUUUUAUAUGCAUCUAAUCAAAUUAAUGUUAAAUAGAUAUGUGUAGAGAUGUUUUAGGAACAACCUAAAAAGAGGACAUUGUAGAGUAAUUUAAAUGUGUAAAAGCUUUACAAUUAUCGGCCUACACAAAUUAAAUCAUAAAUAUAUAUGUAUUGGAAAAAAAUAAAUUGAAAGAAUGAAGAAAGCAUUAUGCCACCUACCAUGACAAAAAGGCUGAUGAAAAAUUUGAUUGAGUGCUUAAGCAAGUUAAGAUAGUGAUUCAAUAUCUAUAUUUAAUUUGGUGAAAAUUAAAUAUAUCAAAAACUCCAAUUAAAUAUAGAUAAAAUUAUUUGAGACUUUUUUUCAUAAUAUAUAUUAUCAAAUGUAUAAGUAAAAAAAUGAGUAAUCUGUUAAUUUGGUCUCUAUCUUUGUAAGUAAUUUUCAAAUCAGUCUCUGACUCUAUUAAUAUUUUAAAUUAGUUUUUAUUUUUGUCAAAAAUUUUUCAAUUAAGUCUAUCGUCUUGUGACAAAAACAAAUAGAAAAGGAUCUAAUUGGAAGCUUUUGAGAAUAUUUAAAAAUAGUUCAUGUCUUUGUCAAAAGUUUUUCAAUUAAGUCAAUUAAAUUCCUCGUCAUAUGACAAAAACAUAGAGGCAAUGAUAUAAUUGAGAAACUUUUGAGGGACUAUUUUAAAAAAUUAAUAAAAUGAGAAACUAAUUUGAUAAUAACUUAUAAAGAUAGAGUCCAUAUUGGUAUUUACUCGAUCGUAAAAAAAAUGUUCUUGGACAACCUUUUGUCCUCAUAUCUUUUCUAUAUUAGGGUGAUGCCCUUCAUGAGACGGAUUUGUACAACCCUACACCAGACCAACCCAUAGAUUUUCAUGGGACGUAUUCAUUUAUUUCUGUCUACAAAGGUGGGUCACAGUUUCAAUUUUUGACACGUAGUAUUAAUUGAGAGUGGAAUUGUUGGAAGAAGAAGAGUGUGACUUUGUGCUGUGAGCAUUAAAUGAAAACACAAGUGGCAUUAUGUCCCAUCCCAUGAAAUGAAAUGAAAAGAGAGUGUAACCAAACCACUAAGUACUAACCUAACAAAGAUACUCACAAUUGGAAUAGAAUUAUUGCCGUGUUGUUGGCGCCAUAUGCACUGCUUACCCUUGUUGGUCGGUGACAGAAUUGUGGAACUGAAUACUAUGGUUUCCACUUUCCACACACACAAUACACUGCUGAACCUAAUUCACAUCAGUUUCACUAAAUCAUGUUAAUCUCAUAUAAAUUUGAUGGCAAUUACAUGAAUUUAAAUCAUAUUGUUAUCGUUUAGUGAGUUGGAUCUCAAGUGUUUACCAUAAUCACGAUAGGUCUCAAGGAUCCUAGAUCAAAUACAUAUAUAAUUACAUAUUGUCUAUGAAGGAGGUCCAAAAACUCGUAACGGAUGUUGAACACGUAUUCUUGGUGGCAACUAGGCUACCCAUAAAAGAAUUAUGGAUAAUUUACCCAACCAAUACACAUUAGCCACAUAAGCACAUAUUCAUGAACUAUCUUGACCCCACUUAAUAUGCGUUGACUCUUUAUCAACGGUACCAACUUAAAUUGAAAAUUCAAAAGUGAAUGCAUGGCGACUACUAACGUGACAAAUAUUAACGAUAUAAAGGAUAUGCACAUUGUUUUCAUGUUUUGUGUGGAAACAACACAUUCUUUUGGUAAAUAAAAUGAGAUGCACGUUAAUAAGUUGUAAUAGAACGAGCUCAUUCUAAUUUUUUCCAUUUAGUUGUAAUUGAAUACUUGUCUUCUCAUUUGUAAUGAUUUCUAUUGUUUGAUUUUUUUUAAGUAAUUUAGUGGCUAGACUCACACAUUAUAAAUAUGAAAAAGUCAGAAAUUUAGAGUUCGAACUUCAACCUCAACAUUUAUUGUUCAUAGAACUAUCAACCGAGCUGUAUUUACAAAACUCCUAUUGUGUGGAUUCAACACGCGUGGUUACUUACAAAAUUUCAUUAUGGCAAAAUAAUAAUAAUAAUAAUAAUAGUUGUAUUUAAGUCCAAUUUUUUAUUUUUUAUUUUUGUAUAUUUUGAUUGUUUUGUCAAAUAAUAUAGUGGUUAGAAAGUCACCUUUUGAGGUCAAUAAUGUACUCCCUCUGUCCAAAAUUAUAUGCAACUGAGUUAAGGGACUUUCGUAAAAAAAAUAUAUAUAUAUAUGUACUCCCUCUGUCCAAAAUUAUAAGCAAAAAAAUCUCAUUUUCUUUGUCCCAAAAUAUAAGCAAACAAAAAAAAAAACUUUUAUGUUAUUUCAAGAAAAUUUCUUUUUCUUGAUGUCAUUCGGCUCUGGCCUUAUCCAAAAAAAAAAUUCAAGAAAAUCAUCUUUUUCAAAGUAAAAUUAAAUGCAAAUUGCAUUCAAUUUGUUAUCCUUUCUAUUAUCUCCAUAAUCAUUAACCAAUAAUAAUUGUUUAUACAUCUUUCCAUGAAACUUAUUCCAAGAAGAACACAAAAAAUUAUACCUUAAACUACUAUGUUUUUGUUUUUUCAAUAAAUGUGAAUUUUUGUUUUUUGCUUAUAAAUUGGGACGGAUGGAAUAUAUUAAGAUCCAACUCAAUGGACGAUGUUGAUAUUGUUUGGCUGAACAUCUUCAUUCAGGUUAGAGCUCAACACUUCGCAAUUAUAUGUGAAUUUUAGGUGAUGUUAGUCACUUCGUCUACGAACCAAUUUUUUUUAACUAUUACUCCUUUCGAACUCAUUUAUAAACAACUUUUACUUUUUCAGAUUCAUUUAAUAAGUGAGUUAAAUAUAAAAUAGUUUAUGUAUUAAUGUGUUCAAGUAAAAUGAGGUAAACAAUAAAUUUAAGCUUCAAUACUAGUUGUAGAGGGAAAAACUCCGCAUUCAAACUUUACUAGACUACUACCCGUGCGUUUCACGGGUCAUUCAUACGUAAUAUAUCGACGAAAUUUGGAAAGAUAUAUCACUCAAAAAAGAACAUUGAUAAAUACUAAUAGGGUUGAUAUCCAAAUUUAAAUUGUCUAAUGGAUACGCUAACAAAAUGGUACGAAAACAUACAUUGCGAAAUACUUCAUGCAUGAUAUACUACGUUAGAAGUCACAUUAGUGUCUUGACAAUCUGCACGGUUUUAAUGCAUGUGGUUGUAUGAUGUAAAACCUGGCAGUUGUUACAAUUAUACAUGUAAUUAAUUUCAUUAUCAUACACAAAGCACAUUUGUACCGCUCAAGGCACUCUUAGCCAAAAAAAAAUACACUUCCAUCAUAAAUAUUGAUAAACCCAUUGAACUGAUGUAAGCAUUGACUGAUGGUUCCAUAGCACAUCAGAAUUGCAACUGCUAAUUAGAAUUCUUUAAUCGAUUGUAUUCUCACAAAAUACCUAACAUGAGGAGUUUAAAAUAUCUUGUUAUGGCCAUGACUGAAUCAAACUUGAUGGUGGACUGUAUGAGAUUAUAAGGAUUCUAGAAUAACUGGAUAUAUAAAUUAAUGCUAAGGAUAUGGCAUGGACUUUAUAAAAAGUGUGAAUUAAUAUUAUUCACACAAAUUCACUAUAAUAACUAUUAGGAAUUUUUAAGGUAAAAGCAUGAUUUAUAGUAUAGCAUCUUAAUCGCAAACUGCUCAUUUUUACUUUUAAAAUUUAUUCACUUUUUUUAUAUAUAUUUUUUAUAUAUUAGUUACUCACCACUAUUUUUUUCCUAAAAUAAGAUUGGAUGAACAUAAAAGUGUAAGUAAUUUUUACAUUAACAUUGAAUAUUAAUGAAACUCUAUAUUAUUCAUUCAAUUAAAUCAAAUUAAUAGUUUAUAAACUUUAAGCUAAAUUCAUUCAUUUUUAUUAAGUUUAUUUAUUUAAAUAUUUUUUUAUUGAUAAAUUUUAAAAUAGUUGAUAAUUUUUUUUUCAAAAAUAUACUAUUUUUUAAACAAAAAAUCAAAUUAAAUAGUAAUAAUGGCCCGGCCCAAAGCCCGAUGGGCAAGCCCUGCCGGCCUAAUUUUUGUAUGGGCUUGGACCAAAAAAGCUCGAAUGAGUUUUUGGGCUAGUUUUUUAGGCCCGGUCCAAAAAUAUGGCUUUUGGGCCAACCUGUUAGCCCGGUCCAUUUUUUACAGCUCUACCUUCAAAGAUAUAUUGGCGCUUAUUAUCAAUGGAACUAUUUUAUUCUCGAGUGCAUAUUAACUCAUAUAUCAUGAAGAAAUUGAUGUAUUCCUAGCUUACAAGCAGACAGUUCUUAAAGUUUUUUUUGUCUUAGGACAGUUCUUAAGAAAAUGGUCUAUUACGUAAUUUAGCUUAUUGUUGUGAUUUAAUUAGCUCUUCUCAAUACACAUUUUUUAUUAAUUGUUAAUAUGUUCAUGUUUGCAUAACCCAUAAGAUUAUUAUAUCUAACCAAUGGAAACUAUGAAAAAAUCAUAUAAUGUUGGUCCUUUUUUUUUGUCAAACUUCAUUUUUUUUUUGAAGAAAAUUAACAGUGUUUGACUCUAUAUAAUAUACCCAUGUGCAGUACUAAGAAAUUCAACCCUAGACCUUUUGACCCAAAAACCUUUCUAUCUAGAGACGGGGAUUAUGUUAUGGUCUCGUCGUCGUCUCCAAAGGAAGGGUUGGCCAUUAUUCAAUGCGCACGAACUGUGAGAUUUGACCAAACAACUCAAAAUAAACUUGACCCCUCAUUCAAUUUCAUAACCACUAUCAGCCUUAUAUUUUGGCCACCCAUGUGCAAAUUAAAUUGGACCAAGCUACACUCUCGAAAUUAGCUGACAUAUCUUUUCAAAAGGGAACAGCUUCUAUUAUUUUGCCAAAACAGGAAUAAGGUAGGUACUGUAGGAAUACUUACUUGACUUGUACGGAUUGCGAUUGAUGUCAUACAAGUAGAAAAUAAUACAAGACUUAUAAAAACGAAGAAGAUAAUUUUGUCCAAAAAAAUAAAAUAUAAUGGGAAAUUAUAUUAUCAUGCAUAUUUUCAUAAUAGAAAAACGUUAUUUUAACAUACAAAUUAAACAUUGUAAUUACCAUCAUCUUUUAUUAUAUGGUUAACCUAGUUUAAAUAUGUGGUAGUACUUUUUUUAACACCACAUUGAUCAUUUUUUCAUUAUAUUAUAUGAUUAUCAUAAUUUACAUAUGUGGUCAUUGUAAUAUUCAAUUGAUGAUUAAUGAAUAUAAUAAAAAAAAUUAAUUUACUAUUAAUCAUGUAAUUAAUUGAAUUAAUUAAGUAUUUGCAUGUCAUUAAUCAUUUAUUUUUUCUAUGGUUGUUCAAAAAUAGGUUUUUAUAUAAAAAAAAAUGUUUAAUUGUAAUUUUGGCUCUCAAAGUUUUAUACCACAUCCGUCCCUAAUUAUGAGAUUUUUGUCUUAUUUUUUUCUUUAUCUCUUUUUAUAAGAUCCCUUUCAAAUUUUAAUGUACAUUAAUUAUUUCUUUACCAUUAUAUCCCUAUUUAUGUUGCAUAUUUUUCUACAAUAUACAAUAAAUACUCUAUGAAAACAUCCACUGAUUCUCUUUCAUAAAGGGUAAACAUGUAAAACAAUAACAAUUGUCAACAAAAUUAGUUCAACAAUCAACUUCUCUAAUUCCCGUGUUUUUCUCAAAAGGGUCCUAUAACUAGGAACAGAAGUAUUAACUGUGUGAUGGAAAAUGUUAACGAGUGCUUCCGUAUCACUCUUUAAGCAAUUUAAAUAUUAAUUUGUUUAUGAAAAAUUGUGUAUUCAAUGCAUUGAUAAAAAGACUCUCGUGUGAUUUUGAUCUCUGUUUACAAUGAGAAAUCUAACCUAUCAAUUUUAUCAAUAUUUGUAUUUACUAAUCUCUAUGUGACCUAUCAACUUUAUCCGUUUUUGCAUUUACUAAUCUCUCAUGUACAUCUAAUCAAUUUUGACUAAAAAAAUAUAUGACUAAUUUUAAUGACGUGCAUGUGCUCGCAAAAGCGAAAAUUAAUGUUUAAAAAAUAAAAUAUAUCAUUUGACCACUUACCCAAUUAUCAUUCUUCUUCCUCUUUCAACCUCCAAUUUUUCCUCCUCCUUUCCUAGCAGACAUUUCCCUACACCCUUUCUCAUCUCUCUCUUAAUUUAUACUACAUCUACUUGCUACAAAUAUAUAAUUUUGGUCUCACAAGUAAAGGAUUCCUUCAAAAAAAAAAAAAUCAAAGGAUUGAUCAAUAAUUUAAUUUUUGCCUCAACCAUUUUAAUUUGUCUGUGUCAAAUUCUUCUAACCAACGUGUGUGGAGAUAGACAUUUAUGCGGCUAGUAUGCACUAGUAAAACUAAAUACACAAUCUUAAUAAUAACGUAACAUAACAUGUUGAAAAAUUAACUUACGAACUUAGGACAUAUAAUUCAGGUUGCUCAGAUUUUGGUUGAAGAGUUGGAGCGAGUCAUGAGCAUAGGAGGUUAACUGAGAAGUUGAACCACAUAUGUGACCACCACUAUAUUGAUUUGCAAAAGCCUUUUGAGUAAAUAAUCACAGCAAAAAAAGGGUGUGUGGGAACAAAAUGAAGGUUUUUUUUUUUUUUUGGUAAUUAUGGUUCGAACCUCAGACCUUGCAUAUAUAAUACAUUAUUUUUACCAAUUAAGUUAAGUUCACAACAACACGAAACGAAUGUUUGAUGUAGAGGUGAAAGAAGGGAGAAAAAGAGGAUUUAAUGAGUGGUCAAAUGAUUUCCUCUCUCUCAUAUUUUUUAGUGUUAAUUUUUACGUAGGUGAACACUAAAUGUCACGUUAUUAAAAUUAGUCAAAAUUGAUUAAAAUAUGCAAAUAGAAUUAGUAAAUGAAAAAUAUGAUAAAAUUAAGCGGUUAAAAUUGCUCAUUGUACGUUGAAAUAACAAUUUUUUUAUGGUGUUUGGGGUUCGAACCUCAGAUAUUGUAUAUAUUAUACAUUGUUCUUAUCAACUGAAUUAAGUUUAUGGAGACAAUGCAUAUUAUAUGCAGGGGCUUAGGUUCGAACCUCAGACAUCCUCCACUUAUUCAUCUUUAAGGUGAAUUUCUACCGCCGUUAGAUUACUUGACAAAAAAAAUUGCUCAUUGUAAACUUUUAAAGUUAAAACUGCACAAUUUUAUUUUUGGAACACCACACCCAAAAAAAUCGAUUAAAAAUAUAUAAUAACUCAUUAAACAAAUAAUAAACUGAAUCAACCAAAUAUUUACAUGAAACUAUUUCCGUUUUCCAAUAUAAAUUUCACUAACGAUAUCUAUCUAAAAUGACUUUUAUUUGAUACUUUUAUAUUUUCUAAAGCAAUGAAAUUAGACUUUUCCUUAAAAGAAAAUCAAAAUUUUAAGACGAAAACAAAGUUCAAAAGACCAAAAGAUAAAAAAGGAAUUGGUAACAUUUACUUUUUUUACAAAAAUAAACUGCAUUCAUUCAAACUUAGAGUACAUCAAUACAAAUUCAAAGUUGUUAAAAACAAAAAUGAUGAAUACGUUAACGAACUCACAACAUCUAUAUUAAUAGUAUAAAAUGACAAAAUAUAUAAACUUAUGAAUAUGACUAUAUUUAAUUCUCCACAAUAUUCAUGUCUUCAGAUUUACAUCGUUGACAAUGUCAAUAUCAUUAUUGGAUUGAAUCUACACUUGAUCAAAUCUAAACAUUCAACUUGAAUCAAUAAACACCGUAUCAAGACGGAAAAAUAUACACCGCACAAAGACGAGAAAUCAAACAAAUCACGUCACGUUAAGACACUGAAAUCACAAAAACAAAUGAAAAAAAAUACUAAAAAUAUGAAGAAGAAAAAAAUCAUUUAUUUAACUAAAAGAGAAAGAAAAAUAAUUCCAAUUUUAGACCAUUCUAAAAUUGACCAUUAAUCACUCAAUUUUGGUUUGUUGAAUUAUUCAAACCUUUGUUGCUGCAAAUGAGUACUCGUAUUAAUCUAGAUGCAUAGUGAGAAUGAGACGACAAAAGAAAUUAAAAACGCUGGAGAUUAUCGUGCAAUGAUCACAUGUAUAUAUUCUAUCGAAAUGUUUUUUUUUCUUUCUUCAGUUGAUAUUGUUUGAAGUACAAAUCCCUCAUUCAAUUUUUUUUAAUGAACUUUAUCUUAUGUUCUUAAUCCUAAUUCUCAAGUUUCUGAAAGAAAUGUUGGUCAAAAAAAGUUUUUGAAAGAAAUGAGUCAUGUUUAAUUCGGAGUUCCACACAACAAAAAUAAAUUUGACAAAAUAUUAUUUCUUCAACCAUAAUUCGAACUCAUUGAAAUUGAUUAUCAUUUAAAUUGAACCACCGACAAUGGAUUGACCCAAGUUGUAAGGAAUUUGAACCCCUCAAGCAUGUGGUUUAUGACUUAUGAGUUCAAUUUUCGGUUUAUUCGUAGGAAAAAUCCGGUUGAGAGGGAGAGAACUCACUUUAUGUUUCCCACAUAUUUUUUGACAAAGAUUAUUCACUAUUAAACGGUGACAGAAACUUCUUACCCAGGGAGGGAAGUAUAAUGGAAAAGGGGCUGCCGCCACCCCAAGAAUUAUGUACUACUACUACUUAUCCUCUAUAUUAACAUGUAGUACUCCCAUGUAACAAGACAAAAAUGUACAGUUUUUGCCCCCCUAAUAAUAUGUGUGUUUGUUUUAAGUUUAUCAAAUUUAUUUUUAGGAAUAACAUUUCUUGAAACAUAAAGAUGGAAAUUUUAUUCCAAGGCAUUUAAAAAAAAUAUAUGUUUGCUUAACAUUAUAAUAUUCUUGGGAGCCAUAAAAAUAGGAAUUAUAAUAGGAAAUUACUCAUGAAUUUAUUCUCAAUCUCCAUGGGAACUUUAUUUCCACCCUUUUUCUAGGGAAAAAUUUUCUAUUCCCAUAAACGUUUUAUACCGGGAAUAAAAUUUAGUAAACUUGUAACAAACAUAAACAUGUGUAUUCCUAUCAUUUUAUUCCCAGGAAUCCACGAAUAUAACUUAAAACAAAUGCACUCUAUGAGUAAUCAAUGCAACCAACCUUGAUAACUAAACUCGAAUAGCAUAAUAGGAGUAAUAUUAUGACUUUUUGCUUCAAGUUUUCACACACACAAACUUAAUAAAUACAAUCCAUUUUUAUUUUUUUUGGUUUUACUCAAACUACUAUUCUUUAAAAGGUUUCACCUAUUCAUUGUAUUAAAAAUUUUAAGCACAUAUCUAAUAAGAAUAGCAUCAUUAGACAUUAAGUUCAAUAAAAAAAACAAUAAAAAAAAUAUAAUUUCAACAUUCAAAACAACAUAGACUCAAUGUCGACCAUUAUUAUCAUUUCAUAAUAAAGUGAGCACAAUGUUAGUGAAAAUAAGUUUCAUAAAACUAUCAUUCAAAAAAAAAAAGUUUCAUAAAAACUAGAAAUAUAAUUUUUCUGCUGAAAAUUUUGACUAUGAGUAAUGAUAUAUGAUACGACAAAAUUUGUCGUGCAGAUUGAACGAAAGCGCUAUGAGUUAAGUUAAAAUCAAAAUAUCACAUAAAUAUUGAAAUGAAAGUGAAUAUACAACAUACCAUAUGUUCCAUGUAUGAUCCAUCUUUCAAAAUGUGUAGUUCUGUAGCUUGCCACUAGCCCACCACCAUCACAUGAUUUGCCUUGUUGUCAUCAUGGCAAACUUACAGCACACAAUAUGAACAACACAAUAAAAGAUGAAUUUCAAUGUAAAAGUGGUACUAGAAUCUAUGUUAGUGCCUUUGGAUCAAAUUGAAUUUAGAAAACACUGAAAAUAAGUUUCUGAGUAAUGUUAAAUUUCGGUCGUGUGUUUUACACGACAAAUGUUGUCGUGCAUAAUAGCAUUUUCCUUUGACUAUUUAUAUCGAAAACAAUAAUCUGAAGACAUUUCAUUAGAAAAGAGUUUUAGCAAAUAAAUAAUCGAAUAUCAAUAUAAUUUUUGCGAUUGUAUUACUAUGUGUAUUUUCUUUUGAUGGAUAUAUAGUAUUUUAUUUUUAUUAAACUAAAUUUUCUACAAUUAUUAGUAGUCAAAGUUAGUUAUUGUUUUUAUUGCUUAUUGUUAUUUUUCGCCCCCCUCGAUAUUUUUUCUGACUCCGUCCCUGUUGGUACCAAUAACCACUUGAUAUACUAUUAAUGGAUCACUUGACUUUAUUCGAAAGCUGUGAAAGUUAAAAAAAAUAUAUAAAAAAAAUUAACACUUAAAAAUCAUUUGAUCAAUGUCACUUUCAAUAAGAAAAUAGAAUUUAACACUUAAAAACCACUUGAUCAAUGUCACUUAUUAGAAAUAAAAUUUUACGGUCAUCCUUAUCUUCAGAAGUAAGUCACUUAAUAAUCACCGUUACCGGUUUGAUAAAAACAAAGAGAGUUGAAUGUGUGUUGAGUCCUGAGACAUACAACACUCCUAUUUAUUUUGAUAUUUUUGAAUGAGUAUCAAUCAUGCUAUCAUUUCACUCAUCAAAAUAAGAAAAUUUGUAUCACAAAUCUUAAUUCAAUUGGUUUUACUCAUCAAAAUAAGAAAAAUUGGAUCCAUAAAUUUUAGUUCAAUCGGUAAACAAAUCUUAAGCAUCUACUGUUAUUUUGUAAAUAAUUGGUUUUUAAUAACUAUUGUUAUUUCGUCUAUUUAAAAACCAUAAGCAUCUACUUUCAACGAAUGUGGUUAUUGAAAUUUGAAUUGUUUUUUUAAGUCGGUCAAGCACAGAUCACCUAUCGAAUUUAAUAGUCCAAUAUAUAAUUUGUAUAGUUUCUCGAUUUUCAUUGAUUAUUUUGUUUUUCUUUUUAAUUUAUUAAAAAAAUUGCAAGUUGAAAGCUGCUCACAAAAUUUUAACGAAAGUUUAGUUAUCUGACUAAUUAGAAACCACUUUCAAUAACCAUGUAGGGGUCGAUAGAAUUUAAAAAUACAAAUCCAUGCAUACGCAGUUAAUUUCCUUUCAUGUAGGAUUUGUGCCAAAAGUUAAGAAAAAUCGAAAUGUAUAAAAACGUUAGGUAGGGUAUGUUUGGAUGUUCUUUUGAACGAGAUACAAUUAUUUUUUAAGGUAUUUAGAUAUUCUUGAAUAUAAUUGAAUUUGUCGCUAUUAAUGACUCUAGUAUCCUUUACUAUUAACGCUAGACUUGAUGAGCUGUCACUUAACCCUAAUCUUUCCCUAAUUUCCCUCCUAAUCCCAUAUUAAUUGCUAACCUCAAUUGCCAAUCGUCCCAGUUAAUCUCAACUGUUGUAUACCUGACGUUUUUCCCUCGCAUUUAAUUCGCUCGCAACUCUCAACUAGCUGUUUAGUACGUGAAAUUAGUGUGGCUUUCCCAUGCAGGAAUUGCUUUUGUAUUCCCCAAAAAGUCUCUGCAUCUCCUCCAAUCUCAUUGGGUGCACAUCUCAACAUGGUUCAAAUUUCUUCUACCCUUUAUCCCUUUAUAAAUAGUGGUGUGCCCAUGCGUUUUGCACUCUUCUGAAAAUCCAAUCAAAUCAAAAUUUGUAAGCAUGACGGGAUGUUGCAAGCUCAUUGUGUAACGCCCACUUUCGUUUAAUCGUUAUUUAAUCGAGUUUAGGUGAUUAUAUUAUAUUUAUUUAAUAUAUGUAUGAUUUUGAUAUGUUUUGAUAAAUUGUGGUGAUUUUGAUGAUUUGAUCGAUGACGUGUUAAGUUGUGAGUAUUGAAGGAUUUGAUUAUGAUAUGAGAUUUAUUUUAUUGNNNNNNNNNNNNNNNNNNNNNNNNNNNNNNNNNNNNNNNNNNNNNNNNNNNNNNNNNNNNNNNNNNNNNNNNNNNNNNNNNNNNNNNNNNNNNNNNNNNNNNNNNNNNNNNNNNNNNNNNNNNNNNNNNNNNNNNNNNNNNNNNNNNNNNNNNNNNNNNNNNNNNNNNNNNNNNNNNNNNNNNNNNNNNNNNNNNNNNNNNNNNNNNNNNNNNNNNNNNNNNNNNNNNNNNNNNNNNNNNNNNNNNNNNNNNNNNNNNNNNNNNNNNNNNNNNNNNNNNNNNNNNNNNNNNNNNNNNNNNNNNNNNNNNNNNNNNNNNNNNNNNNNNNNNNNNNNNNNNNNNNNNNNNNNNNNNNNNNNNNNNNNNNNNNNNNNNNNNNNNNNNNNNNNNNNNNNNNNNNNNNNNNNNNNNNNNNNNNNNNNNNNNNNNNNNNNNNNNNNNNNNNNNNNNNNNNNNNNNNNNNNNNNNNNNNNNNNNNNNNNNNNNNNNNNNNNNNNNNNNNNNNNNNNNNNNNNNNNNNNNNNNNNNNNNNNNNNNNNNNNNNNNNNNNNNNNNNNNNNNNNNNNNNNNNNNNNNNNNNNNNNNNNNNNNNNNNNNNNNNNNNNNNNNNNNNNNNNNNNNNNNNNNNNNNNNNNNNNNNNNNNNNNNNNNNNNNNNNNNNNNNNNNNNNNNNNNNNNNNNNNNNNNNNNNNNNNNNNNNNNNNNUACGUAACGGGAUGGGGUUAUAUGCUAUAACAUGCUUCAUUCUUUUACGUGAACUGCUUAUGUUUUGAUAAACUCUUUUGAGAUACUUAUUGGGCCUGCGUGCCAAAAACGUUUAUGUUUAUGAUUUUCCGCUGCUAUGAUUAAAGAUAUUUGUGAAGGUUAAAUUAUCAUUUAACUGUUUUUGGAUUACGUUUCUAUGUGAUAUCCCGUUUAUGGUUUUUACUCUGAUAAUUGUUUAUGAAAUUUGUAUAUUGGGAAAACGGGGUGUUACACAUUGGCAUUGCAUUGUUUGAGAGGUACAUAUAUAUGCCUAUUGUGUUUACUAUCAUAAAAAAAUAGCAAAAUAACAACUCAGAAAACCUUAUUAUUAACGCAUAUCAACUCACAAAAUUAUGUGCUUAUUGUGCUUUACUGUCAUGUCUAAUGUGCUUUUGUUAUGUUUUUUUUAUCACUGGACUUUCACUGAAUUAUUUUCUGUUUGAUCCGCAGCUCCACUGGAUCCAAAUCCAGUCACUGAGUUGGACAAAAUGGAGAAUGAACUACGACUCCAAUAUAGAACCAUUUGCAUUGAGUUCCACGUUAGGGAUGUGAGCAUUAUUCAGUAUCAUUUUGUCCAGAAAUUCUUCAUAUUUAUCAGUACAUAGACAAACAAUCGAUGAUUCUUUUACAAAAUCCAUGCAGGGCGCUGUCAUGUUACAGAAAUUCUUCACAUCUGGCUUUUUGGUAACGAAGCAAAACAUCUUAUAUUUAAUAGUUUGUACGUAGCAUUAUUCAUGUUAGUUUAAUCUCUCUGUUUGAUUCUGCAUAUGUUACCAUAUGGAUCAUUUUGUCAUUUGACUUUGGGCAAGAAGACUACCUCCGUUGUGUUGAUUGAUGACUGUGGAAACAAAUGGAACUGUAUCACUAUAUUCAGUAAACAGACACAUCGCCACAUUAAAAUUGACGGGGGUUGGAAGCGUAUGCUUGAAGCGCGCAACAUUUCAAUAGGUGCGCACAAGGGCUGGGAACAAUAUUGACAAACUCUACAUUGAAGUCACUCACCCAUCUGUUUUUUGAAUAUAGCUUUUGGAUUCAGAAUUAUUGUUUUGUUUGCGUUGAAGACUUUUUUAUUUUGGGACAUUAUUGUGAGUUGUUAGUUUGUAACAACAGAUAUCCUUUGAAUUGAAUGAACCAUUUUGGCGUUUUGGAUUUAUCCUUGAUAUGCGUUGUUCCAUUGUGUUUGCCCAAUGUUUUCCUUUCAUGACAGUUUUGUUUAUUGUAAAUUCAAUAGUGAAGUAUCCCUUUAUUCAAGUAAAAAAAUGUAAAACAGACUCAAUUCAAAUGCACAUUAGACAUGACAGGUGCAAAACCAAAUUUACAAUGACUGUAAGGGGCAUAUCUCAUUGAACAAACAAAAAAAAAUUAAAGAGAUUUAUUUAGAAAAUGGUGAGAGAUGUUAGUUUGUAGCAUGUUUUUUUUUUUUUUUUUUGAAAUAAAGUCAUAUAGACUGAUUAAAACUUCAGCCUCAAUUACUCUUUUUUAGCCAAUGUUACUUAAAUUUCGUCGAAGUUCUGUUAACAAUGACUGAUACAAUGACUGAUGAAUUGAAGAAGAUUCUGCAAAAUUGACUCCUAACUGCAAGGCAAUUUGUUAACCGGGCCGGGCCACCUAUUUGACACAUCUACUUGAAGGUACCCAAUCCUCUUUUGUUGCCAAGUUAAACUCCUUGAAAACCCACAAGUACUUUUUUUUUUACCAUUUAUCAUAUCCCCGAUCAUCGUUAUGUACUUUUAACACUCGAGCAAUUUUUGGUACUUAAGAGCAUCUUCAAUGGGAGGUCCUUAGUUAACAAAGACCACUCCCUGUUAACGACCCCCAUUGGAGGAAGAGAAAAUGAGUCCUCAUUAAGGAACAAAUAAUUAUAUAAGGACCCUCUCUUUACUAGGCAACUAACCGGUACCGCGUUUAAAAGAAGUAAUAAAAUAUGUAUUAUGUGGUCCCACUUACAAAAUAAGUAAUAUUUUAAUAAUUAAUAGUUGUUUUAAAUAUUAUUUUAUCCAUUUGUUAUCAUUUUAAAUAAAAUGUAAUUCAUGCAAAUUAUUAUUAUUAUUUUUCAACGAAGGAAUGUAAAAUUUGUAAUGUUAAUUUUUCCAUUUUCAAAUUAUUAGCCAAUGUGGCAGAAAUUUAAGUUCAUACGAAUAAAUAAAUAUUUUAUAAUUUUUUUUAAAGAUUAUAAUUAAAUAUUAUGAGGUAAUUUAUAAUUUAAUAAAUAAAUUAUUUUUGUUUAAUAAUGUAACCUUAAUGGGGUUUAUUUAAGUACUUUUCAUCAGAAUCCGUGUAAUUCUAUUGGAGUCAUUGAAUCCUUAAUAAAUACUUUUAUUAAAAUAUUAUAAAUAAGUGAUGUGUAACGUAGGUGUUUACACUGAAAUUUGGUAAACAAUCGCUGGUUUCAAAAUGUUUACUUGCAAGAUCAACCAGUAAAUCUUAAGAGCAUACUGUGCUUUAUUUGUCUCUUUGAAAUUGUAAUGUUUGUUCUUGAAAGACUUUGAUAAAAGCAAGAAUAAAUAAAAGGUAAUUGAAUCCAACCCAGUUGAAUCCAAUCGAAGUAUGAUGCGAAUAAAAGUAAAUGAAUUACUCAAAAUAAACAAGUAAAUUGCAAAGACAUUUAAAGAAAUGUAUUGAAAUUGCAUUGACUGGAUGUAAGUUGGUAUACAUAUUCAUACAUUGCAACUUGUGACUCGUUCAUCGCUUCCAUACGGAUAUUUUGAGCGUAAGUUUUUAGUAUGAUUGAAUUGUGACCCUUUUUUCCUAAGAAAAACUACUAUUUAUACAGAUAGGGUAAUAACUACCUAGUAUGAAAACUAUAACUGCAGAAAAACUACCUAAUCCUAGCCAUACGAUCUAAGUAUCGAAUAUAGCCGUUGAAAUGCUUGACCUUAUCCGGAAAAAUAACCAUCUUCGAGAUCCAUCCGCCCAUCGAACAGAGGCGCGUGUCUUCGAUUCUCUCCCUAGGAGCGUAACUUCAAUUAGUUACCUAUAAGAGAAAUGAUCCUUAUAUAGUUACCCGUUCCUUAAUGGAAACUCAUUUUCUCUUCCUCCAAUAAAAGAUCCUUAACAAGGAGUGAUCAUUAGGUAAAGACAUCCACUUGAAGAUGCUCUUAUGGUAUUGUCCUAACUCCUAAGUAGCUGCAGGUUUCCCUUUCUCCAAUGGAUACUCUCUAGUCCACUUAAACUCUUCCAAGGUAAGUGUUAAUUGAAAUUUGAAAGUAUUGAAAAGUAAAGCAUCUCGAGGGGUAGUAACAUCGAUUUCAAUCUCUACUUCUAAUAACCCAAGAUUUUCCCUAAUAUUCCAAUGUACAUGUACUUCACAUAAUUUUCCCAAGAAUUUUCACAAAAAUAAAACCACUACUUGCAUCGUCUCAUUCUCCACUACAAGUUUUUUUUUUUUUUUUACCUACUAUAUCCAAUACCUCAUAUUUAUUCAUGGAACCAAUAAAAGAAAUGAUAUACUUAAUUGUAUAAAUAACUUGUUUUUUUCUUUUUCUUUUUCAAACGCAUACAUUUCUUAUAAUGUUAACAAUUCAUAUAAUUGUUUUUUUUUAAAGUAUUCAUAUAAUUGUUGUGUCCGUAAUUUUUUUUUCAAAAUUAAAGUUGAUAAUGUCUUAUUUAAGGCCAACAAUGUGUCGACAAAGAUUAAAUAAAUUUGUUUUAAUAUCAAUGGAAAAAGAAUUGCUUAAUGAAAUCAUUUACAAUAAUUUUUGAUUGCUUAAAUAUUAUGUUUUAUUAUCAAUUAUGAAAAAGAUCAAAGUUGAUUACAUGCAAAAUCUUUACUUCACUUUAAAGAUAACCGAUAAUGAACGAAAAAAUAGGUUUGAGUGAAUCACUCCAAUUUCAAUUUGGAAAAAGAUGAGAGAAAGGGAUGACAAAGUGAGAGAAAGAAAAUGCAAUAAGGAAGUGAUAAGAAAUUUAUCGAGUCAAAAAAUGAAACUUCAAAUGAGGGAAGAUAGUGAAAUUCAAAAUCACGAAAAAAGGGAGCAAUUAUUUUUGAAUAUGAAAUAGCGAAUUUUGUCUCAAAAUUCCCAACUUAACUAUUUUCACAAGGUUUAGAUUAAAUUUUUCAACAACAUAUAUUUUCAUUUUGUCAAAAAAAAAAACAACAUAUAUUUUCUUGUCUUAGAUAUAACUCAAAGUUACUUAAAUUCGAACUCAGAAUGAAAUAGUGUUAAAUUUUUUGAACAAAUUUUUCUCGUCACCUUAUUUGAAGUUACGUGUAAAAUAUAUCCGUUCAUUAUAAAAAGGUUUAAACACAUUUUUGGCCCCCUAUGUUUAUCAUAGUAGCAAUUUUGGCCCCAUAAUAAAAAAUACCACUUUUCAGCCCCCUAACUUCACCCCCUUUUGCAACUCAUAGGUCUCCUCUAAUUUUGACCAAGUCAAAGGUUAUUAUUGAAUUAAAUUUAAAUGGAAAAGAAUGAUAGGAAUAAUUAAUAGCCUUAGGAUUAAAUUAGUGGUUUUAAAGAUUCAAUUUUAAUGUUAUUGUGUCCCUUCACAGGUCUCUCUCCUUCAUGUACUUCAUGAUUUGUUUCUUUGCCACUUCAAUUGAUAAAAAGAUUGUUCCCUUUCCUUUUGGAGUUUCGAAAAUCGUAAUAAAUAUUUUGGAAAAAGAAAGGAAAGAAUCACGGGAACAGAUCUGGUGUAGAACGAGAACAUAUAUGGUGGUUCCCCUUAUAUUGCUGCCUCACAUUGCCGACGACAUCUUCACCUGUCACGGUUCCCGUCGGCGCCGAUUGUGAGUGCAAGAGAGAGAGAGAGAGAGAGGGAGAGACGACAAGGGAGGGAAGACGGUCGGAGAGAGACAACAAGGGAGAGAGUGAACGAGUGAGAUAGAUACGAGAUGCCGGUUCACUGUCACCUUUGGCAGAGAACGAGAAUGGCGCAGGAUGAACAAGUGAAUUAUGCAGUAGUUUUAAUGGUGAUUAAAUGCAGGAAAGAGACAUCGUAGAUUGAAGAAGAUGAAAUGUAAAUGGGUUUAAGGAAAAGUAUUAGCUAAGAGAAGGAGCAUGUGAGUUAUUUUAAUCUUGACCACUAAUUUUUAAUCUUGAGCCACAUGGCCUUUGACCCGAUCAAAAUUAGAGGGGGCCUAUGAGUUGUAAAAGGGGAUGAAGUUAGGGGACUAAAAAAUAGUUUUUUUAAUAGGGGGCUAAAAUUACAACUAUGGCAAACAUAGGGGGUCAAAAAUGCAUUUUAGCCUUAUAAAAAAGAUUAGGUUUAAAUGUGUCAUUGGUCCCUGCACUUUCAUCAGAUUUUGGCAUUGGUCCCUGCACUUUGUAAAAAUAUUGGUAUUGGUCCCUCUGUUAACUUUCUGUUAAAAAAAAACACAAAACCAACGGAGUGCCACGUGGCCCAAUCAUUUCACGCCACGUGACACCAAUAUCAAUAUUUUUACAAAGUGCAGGGACCAAUACUAAUAUUUUUUCAAAGUGCAGAGACCAAUACCAAAAUCUCAUGAAAGUGCAAGGACUAAAGACAUAUUUAAACCUAAAAAUUAGAUGGAGAUAAGGUUUGACAAGAUACUAGUACCAGAUAAACCCUCUUUUCAACAAAAAAAGAUGCUAGAUAACCCAUUAAAAAUUGGAUCGAACAGGGUUUAACACGACCCGACCCAAUUCAACCCGCAACCAAGUAGCAUCACUUUCAAAGACAUUUGCAUUUCCAUGGAGGAAAACCCUAACAGUAACAUUAUAGACCAGAGCAUCGUGUGUUCAUACUGCACACGAAAAAGAAGAAGAAGAAAAUCAGCGUCAAUUCUGUCGGCGGAGCCAUGGCGGCGCCUGAAACCCCUCUCAAUUACGUCGGUGUCGCCAGGAAAUCCGCCGCCUUCCGUCUCAUGAAGCAAAUGGUUCCUCUCUCUCUCUCUCUCUCUCGUUACUUUUUUCUUUCUUUCUAAUUUUCUAUUGUUAAUGAUUUUGUAUAUUGAUAUUAUUGAAUUCGAUUCAUUUGUUUAAGGGAUGGGAAGAAGGAGAAGGUCUUGGCAAAGAAAAACAAGGGAUCAAAGGACACGUUCGUGUCACCAACAAACAAGACACUACUGGUUUCCUUUCUUAAUCAUUUUCACGAAUUUACUGUUUAUUCAGAACAAUUACUUAUUAGAUUAAUCAUGUAUUCAGAAUAAUUAAGCAAUUUUAGUAUUCUAUAAUGCUAUGUUAUGUUACGCUAUGCUUAGGGCGUGUUUGGAUUAGCUUAGUUGAACUUAUGCAUGUCAGUAUCUGUGAGACUGUUUGACAGAACUUAUGAAAACAAUUUAUGACAUGUUCAUAUGCUGUUUUCAGCUUACCUAUAUAAGUUUUCCAAUAUAGCUUAUGAAAACAGCUUAUAGAACUUUAUUUAAUAUUUUGUUAUAGAAAAAGCCUAUACAUAAGUACUUAUCAUGAUAAGUGUUUAUGCUAUAAGCUAAAAAUUAAGCUGUUUAUCCAAGGAGUCUGAGUUUGGUUUUUCAAUUUUAAAUAGGCAUCGGAUUAGAGAAGCCAAACCAAUGGGCAUUUGAUACCACACAAUUUGAUAACAUACUCAAGAGAUUGAAAGUUGUACGUUUCUUCCUCUCUUUUCAUUUCUUACUUUGUUAUCUUAAUUAAUUCUCAUUCAUUUAUACAUUUUUUUUUUCUCUUCACUGAAAUAUUUCUUUUUGUUUUUUCUGUAUUUGAUAGCAAGCGCCAGUAUCCAAUGACACAGGUAUAACAUCAGUCCUCUGAGAUAGAUCUCCAGUAAAUUUUGUACUGUUUUGCUAUGUUGAUGAAUAUAUUAUGAUGGUUUGUGUUUUUAUCUACUGUGGUUUAAAUAGAGAGUAACACGGUUAAGGUGGAAACUGAGGCGGUUGUUCCUGUUGAUCCCAAGGUUGCUGUACCCAGAGCUACCAGACCACAAGGAAGGUCUGUAUUUUUUCAUUCAUUGUGUUGUUUAUUGUUUAUAUAACUACAUAUGUAUGAUGAUUUUUGACUUUUCUUUUUAAUUUUCAGAUACAAGAAAAGAGAAAGAGGGAAGCUUGUCUCUCAUUAUUCCUCAAAGGACCUUGAAGGAAUUCUUGUAAGUUCCAACUUCAGACACACCAUUCACUGGACAUCUUAAAGAAUCUGAAUAAUAUCUUUACUUCUUUUAUUUGAUUUUCAAAAAAAAAAAAACGGUUCUGCGUGGCCUGCUACGUUGCCAUGUAAAGAUGUUAUGCAUGAAAUGAAUUUUUAUUUAUCUUUGUAAUCUGUUUCAUGGCCCUGGACAAGUUGCCAAAUCCAAAUAAGCCUCUAACCGAAAUUGUGGAAGAUGCAUUGUGCUCUGAUAUUGGCUUUCCGAUUCUAUAGUUCUAUUCAUUCAUCAAAUCCUGUUAAUAUGUGCAUUCUAACUGGUUAUUUUAGUCAUAUUCUUUACACUUGAUGGGUUUUUGGUAUCAUUUGCAAUGACUGCACACAUGUGUGUUGCAAUUCAUAAGGAUGAGUUGUGUAUUCAAAUACUAAAGAAUGUACACUUUUUGACCUUCGUUUCGUUAAACUUAACUGAAAUGGAAGAUAACCAGAGAUUGCAAUCUCAAAGUAUUAAAGAAUGCUUUAAAAUCAGCUGCUCCAUGGCGUGGUCCUUGAAAAGGGAAACCUGGUGUCAUAAAGUUCCCUCCAUGACGUGUCCCUUGAAAAGGUUGGACCUAUCAUGGGUCUAUUGUAGUCAACCUUACCAUACAUUUACUAGAUCCCGAUUCAAUGACUCAAACCUCUCUCACCCGUACUAUAUUCUAUUGACACUUUACCAAGUCUAAUUGUUGCGCCAAGACUUCUUUCUUUGUGAUUCUUUUAUUUCAAACGUUGCUUUUACUUAAAUGUUAGACUGUGAAUAUCAUAAUAAGAGUAUCAAGCUGAUGUGUUGUCAGAAUCAAGCUUCUUAACUGCAUUUUCAAUAAUCAAGCUUCUUAACUGCAUGUUACAAUGUCAAUUCUAUUUGAUACAACAUUGUCUCUGAUUGUUUACUUCUAUAAUGUUGGUCAUAGGUAAAAAAGAGUGACAUAUCCGAGGAGGGUACUGACAAUGCUGAUGAUGAAUUGGAUUUAUCAAAGACACCUGACUUUCAAGAUUUUGAGGAUGAAGGUAUAAUCUAGAAUUACAGUGAAGUUUUUAUGUUAUUUGUAUUGGGCAUGUAACAUUAAACACAACAACAACAACAACGACCAAGCAUUAUUCCAUUAAGUGGGUUUGGCUACAUGGUUCAAAUUACGUUGUAAUGUUAUAUCAUAAACCAUAUUUUGAUCAAACCCAUUAAUCUCUAAACCUUUUCUUAAUAGUUUCUCUUAUAGUUUUUUUCUAGGUCUUCCUCUGCCUCUAGUGACCUGACCACACCCACUCUCUUAACUACAAAAUCCACAUGUUCUACAUGUCCAAACCACCUAAACCUAGUUUCCACCAUCUUUUCUACUAUAGGUGCUACCCCAACUAAUCUUCAAGUGUUACAACACAUCCAACACAACAUCCUCAUCUCCGCUAUGUUUCUUUUAUUUUUGUGUUGGUUUUUACAGCCCAACACUCCGUCCCAUACAACAUUGUCGGUCUUAAAGAUUUAAAGUUGUUCGAUAAAGUGUUCCCUUCAACUAGUGUGGUACUUUUGUAUUACAUAGAACACAUGAGGUCCUCCUCCAUUUCAACCACCUUGCUUGUAUUCAAUGAUUUACACUUGCUUCUAUUUCUACAUCAUUUUGUAUCAUUGAACCCAAGAUAUUUAAACCAAGUAACUUGUGGUAUGAUAUGAUCUCCACCUUUCACCUCUAAGUUAGAAAUGCUUCGCCUUUUGCUAAAAUUACAUUCCAUAUACUUUAUCUUGCUUUUACUCAUGCGGAAGCAAUAUCCUUAUAAGGCUCGUCUCCAAGCCUUAAACCCCCAUUUAAUUCCUCCCUCGACUCUCCAAGUAGGACUACAUCAUCUACAAAAAAUAGACAUCUCGGUGCUAGCUUUUGGAUGUGUUUCGUAAUUACAUCCAAAAUUAAAGUAAACAAAAUAAGGGCUUAGGGUUAACCCUUGGUACAAUCAUAUUGUUAUGGGAAAAUCAUCAUGACCCACUCUGCGUGUUCAAACUAGAUGAAGCCCCCUCAUACAGAUCCUUGACGACUCAAAUAUAGGCAAUCCUAACUCCUUUCCACAACAUCUAGGCACUCUAUCACGUGCCUUCUCCAAUUCAAUAAAUACUUAAGUGCAAGUCUUUUUUAUCCAUCCAAUGUUGCUUCCUAGGCAUAAAACCAAAUUGGUUAGCCGUAACUCGAGUGUCUUUUCUUAGUCUCCAUUUAAUCACUCUUUUGCAAAAGGCAUGUAACAUUAAAUAUCUACAUAUGAUUGUUUGACUUCAUCAACAUGUUCAUAGGGACUGUCAAGACCCAGGCCCACCCAACCCCCCCCCCCUCCCAAUUUUUUUUCUUAUUUUGUAGACCUUAAAGACAGCAUGUUAUUUUAAUGCAACAGUUUCAUUCCUAUUGGUUAGAGUGGAUAAUUAAAAAAGUAUUUACAAAACAUUUGACCAAGAGGACGAAUAUGCAUGCAUGCAUAAGAAUUCUGGAAUUUUUAAUCCUUAAUUGCCUUAACCUCAAUGUGUGCGCCACUAUAUUCCUUCAACUUGAACAUCACUUUGCAUUGCUCCAAGAUUCAUCUUGUCGGUCACAACAUGAAACACAUGCUUCCACGGAUCCUUUUUCAUUCUUUGUUGUCGAGUUAACACAACAGAUGCAACUACUUGUGGUAUAGAUUACGAUCUUCAGCUUCUGAAGGAGAAGACUUCCCCUCAUCUAUAUAUUUAUCCGUAUGAGCAAUCCGCUCUUCCAUCUAUCUCAUUGAUAGACAACGCAAGCUCUUUGGAAUGGACUUGGUGGCAAUCAAACUCGAGAAAGCACCACACUUCUUUUCCUUUGUUAACAGUUCAUCCAAAACUAAAAUUGUAUCCUUCAACUUCUGAAUCUUGAGCUGCUUAUUAAAGGACAAAGGACUCCUUUCCAAUGUUGAACAUGUUUCAAUUUUUGUUUUUUUGGUAAAAAAACAAGUCAAUUGAGGCUAUUCAAACUUCUUUUUCAUAAUAUUUUUUAAUUAUUAAUACUUUAAAUUUUCAAAAAUAUUAUGAGAAAGAAGUAUUAAUAAUUAAAUACCCCCACGAGAUUUUGUUUUUUCUUUUCAAAAACAACAAAAAACCGAAAAAAUGAAACAUCUUCAAAACAUUAGAAAGAAGUUCUUUAAUAACCAUCUCAAGAUUAAAAAGGUUGAAGGAUACAAUUUUUUAGCCGUGCAUUCUCGAGUUCAAUUGCCACCAAAUCCAUUCCAAAGAAAUUUGCAAUGUAUAUCAAUGAGGCUGAUAUAAUAACAGAUUGCUCAUUCGGAGAAGUAUAUAGAUGAGGGGAAGCCCACUCCUUCUGAAGUUGAAGAUACUAAUAUUUACCACUAUGUGUUGUUGUCCGACAAGUAGCUGCAUCUGUUGUGUUAACUCGGCAACAAAGAAUGCAAAGGAACUGUGGGCACAUGUUUUGACCGGCAAGAAGAAACCUUGGAGCAAUGCAAAAUGAUGUUUAAGUUGAAGGAUUAUAAUGGUGCACACGUUGGGGGCUAAGACAGUUAAGGAUUACAAAUUCCUGAAUACUUUUGACGUAUUCGCCUUCACAUGAUAAAAUGUUGUUCCGUAAAUACAACAUCUUUUUGUACUUCUCGAAUUUCCCUUGUUGUGGGUGGCUCUAUCAUAAAUUUUACAUUGAAAAAUAAAAGGGUCAUUUGAGGGGUAUUGUUCUUUAUAACCAAUAACAUGGAAAAACUUAUCAUAUAUAACUCUGAAAUGCCACCAUUUGUGACGACGUUCUUCCUGCAGGGUGUUGUAAGAAAAAUAAUUCCUCUACUUACAUGUUCUGCCAUUGGCAUUUCUGUGAUAUAUAUAUAUAUAUAUAUAUAUAUAUAUAUAUAUAUAUAUAUUAACAGUACUAUUUUCCUCAAUCAGCCUAUAUUGCAUUGUUACAGGAAGCAAAUGUCCUGAUAUCCAUCCAGAGUGGUGGGGCAAUAAGUUUGGGUUUGUCUCUGGUGGAUUGCUCGGUGCAGCAUCAAAGAAGAAAAAGUCCUCUACAUCUGAAAUUGCUAAAAGUGGGAUGGCGAGAACUCCUUUUUUUGAACAAGAUCAAGAAAACCUCUACAAUUUAGUCCAAGUAUGUGCUUUUCAAACUUGGUAUAUGCUGUAUAUUAUUUUAUCAAACAAUAACUGUACUAUGUUCACAUAUGACCUUACAAUUAUAUAAAGGAUGGUUGCCGAUGUUCUACCAAUAUCUUGAAUUUUAGUUCUAUAUUGUCAUUUUAAUUUCAUUUUCUAACCUGAAUGGUGUAAUUAUUAAUUGUACCGUUGAUUGCUAUUCCAGGAUAAAUCCACAACAGGAAAGCAAGGUCUAGGUAUCAAGGACAGGACCAAGAAAGUAGCUGGAUGCUAUUUUCAGGGUAAAAAGACAUCAUUCGGUAAUAGUGACGAUGAAGAUUCUGCUGACAUAGAUUCUCUAGAAAACGAAACAGAUGAUGAUGUGGAAAUGGUGGUGGAAAAGGUGGAAAAGAUUGUUGAACCCAAAAUGAAGCUGAAGAAGUUGUGCAAGCAGAUCUUAAACCAAGUGAGGCCUAUUUCUCGGGUUGCAUAUUUUUCUCCUUCAUAGUGAAAUCAUGAUUGAUUAGUUACUUUAUGUACAGGCGCCUGGAGAAUCAUUGAAACUGAAACAGCUCAAAGUUCUUAUUGAACAACAUUCAUCUUCAAUUUUGUCGGACUUCUCUUCAAAAAGAGAGGCUGUUGCGUACUUGAAGCAAAAGGUAUGGUUGCUUUAAAUACAAAAUCACAAUUCAUAUUGAAAUUUAAAUAGCAUGGAACCAAAUUUCUUCAUUUUAUAUUUUAAAUUUGAAUGUAAGUUGAUCUUUUAUGUUCAUGUUUCCUUUUUGAAAUAAUGUAAAAGGAAUCUCCUUUUUAACUUCCAUUGCAUAAUAAAUAUAUUGUGGAUGCUCGUUAUGAAACUAUUUGAAGCUUGCUGUAUUAUUACUUUACUCUUCACAAUUAUACUGAGUUAUUUUAUAUAUUUUGCGCUCCAUCUUCUACACUGACAUGUUUUGGUCCUUGACUUUAGCUGACAGGUAGUCGGAAGUUUUGUAUUGAAGGGAAAACAGUGCGAUUGGCAUCUUAGAGAAGUUGAAAUUUUGAUACAUUUUUGGCAGUUUUUCUUAUUCAUUUCAUUCUGGAGGAGAAAAAAGGGUUGAGGUGUUUGGGAUUUUGAGAUGCCUGUUCGAAGUGUAGAUUGCAUUGGUUGGAGUUAGUUAUAGGGUAUAUUUCAUUUCAUUGCUUACCUUUCUUGAAAAAUGUUGUAAUAUGUUUAAUGGCUACACAUUUACAAUAGCAUUUUAUGAAAUGUAGUUUAUAUUUUUUAUUUUUGAAGUUAAAAAAACUUCCAAGUGUGUGUCCACUGGUUUUAAGAUAUUGAAAUUAUCUUUUUUGUAUUCUUAUACAAAUAAUGGUUGUGCAAUUGUGUAUUAUGCAUUUGUGUUUAAAGCGUGUAUUGUCAGUAGGUUCUUUAUUUUAGUGUUUAAAAUGUGUUUGUAUCUUGCAAUGAAGCUUUACUAGUGUGAUACCGUGCGUACGUUAAUGCAUCUAUUAUUGAACAAUGUAAUAUAAAUAAAACAAAAUAAAUAAUGACACCGAAAUUCAAGUUGAUAUAAUUGUUAAAACAACAAAGUAGAUAAACAUACAACAUGCAAUAGAUAUUAAAUAAAUGACAAAUAACUCAUGAUUACAAAUUACAUUACACCAAAGAAAUGAUAUGACAUAAAGAUUCAAAGGCUAUUAACCAGCAUUAAAAAUUAGUAUAACACCCGUACUCAAUUUCUUCUUUGUGACAAUACUAUCAACCAUAUUAAUGAUGCAUGAAUUUAUUCCCAAAGGAUUUUAUGAACAAAAUUCAUGUUAACACAUUUAUUAUGGAUAAGAUGAAAAUCGCCUUUUGAGCAACAAAGCCUUGUGUUCGUUCAAAAUAAUAAUAAACAUAAUACGGAUCAUACACCAUAAAACGGAUUAAAUAGUUUUUAAUUAUACAAAUCACAAGUUUUUAAGUUUAGUCGAUAUAAAAUUUUAAUCCUUCACAAAAUUAGAGCUUUUACUGUUGCAAAAUAAUUGAUGCUCAAGUGCAGCCGUAAAAUGUUGAAAAAUCGAACAAAACAUCUCAUAUUUAACCUCUUGUAAGAAAAAACUCAUAUUUAGUCUUUUAUAAAAAAAGAAGUACAAUGAAAAAAAAAAUUAACUUAAUAAAAUAUUCUUGAAAUUUUUUUAUGUGGGACACCCUAUAAAUUUUAUAGGCUCUUCAAAUGGGUUUUAAUGUGGGAUACCCCUAUAAAAAUUUUGAGUUGAAUUUUAUAUUUAACUUUAAUUCUAGACCAUUCAUUUUAUAAAAAAUUUAUAAACAAUGAUAUGGAAUUUUCUUAUAAGCUUAUUUUUUACUGGUAUAUAAAGGUUUUUGAUUAAAAUGGUUCAUCCUUACUUUUGAGUAUUACGUAAUGUCUUCUCUGUUCGAAUAGUGUUCUGAAUUUAUGGCGGCUCAUUUACUCGACCAUUAUCCGAUAAUUGUGUAGAAGUAGAAUAGAUAUGAAAUGUUAAUUUUUUUUUUUUCUAGAGUUAAAGUAUAUUCAGAAAAAGAUUUAGACAUGUAUUUUUGAAAAAUCCUAAACUAUUUUUCCGAUGCUAAAUAAUAAUAAAAAAGAAAUGAUUUUGUGAAAUGGAAAUAUUCUUUUGAAUGAAAAUUUGAAAUGAGUAAAUAGGCAAUUAUUCUCCGAAAUUGUAAGUUUCGACAAUUACCCAUGACAUUAAUAAAACUCCAAUUACCUAUGAAAUUGGACAACGUUGAUCAAUCUGUUAGUCAUGAUGACGUUUUGCAAAUACCCCCAUGAAGUUUUGCACUUAUGUACAAAAUGCCCUCCGAACUUGAAAAUUUAUAUAUAUAUUUUUUUUCUUAUUCUUGAUUCAAAAGAUAUUAAAGGCAAACAAUUAACUUUAAUAAUUUAAAACUCUACAAUAUUACAGUCCAAUAUAAUAUUACAAUUAACAUUUGGAUUCUUUAUUACAAUCCAAUAUUACAGUUAACUCUUAAUUGUUUGUUUUUAAUAUUUUUUGAGCCAAAAACAAGAAGGAAAGAAAAUAUAAAUUUUCAAGUUCGGGCAUUUUGCACAUAAGUGCAAAACUUCAGGGGGUAUUUGCAAAACGUCAUGUUGACUAACAGAAGAAUUUGACGGAGGGGGUAAAUUGAUUAAUGUUUUGUAAUUUCAGGAGUAAUUAAAAUUUUGUUAAUGUCAGUGGUAAUUGACGAAACUUACGAUUUCGGAGAGAUAAUUCAUAUUUACUCAAUUUAAAAUGGAUAGUGACUCUUGGUUCCUAGAUUCCUAUGUAGGACUUGUCGUAUGUCGGUGGUAUACUGUACUAUAGUGACUACAAGUUGCAACAAAGUUUGUGUGUAGACUUUCAACCAGGAUCGAAGAAUUCUGAGCUAGUUACAGAUAAUCCUUUGAAAUCCUAUGCAAGAAAAACGUAUACGUAGGUGUGCAACAUGUAAAACCAUAAGACUAUAUGCGUGGCCGCAAGGGAAAAAAAAUAAAGAAGUUAAUUUAUUACAUUUAGAUUUUGACCAAGUCUUAUAAAUAAACUCAUUAACAACUUAAUUGGGAAAGUAUCCAAAGAAGUAUUCCAUCUCAUCUUAUUUAUAAGAGAAAAUUAAGUAAACAAAAGUUGAUGUACGUGGUUUAAAAUUUAGGUCAGAUAUAUUAACUUAUGUUGAACAAACAUUUUCUUAUAAAUAGGAUUGAAGGGAGUACUUCUUAUUCAUGAUUAUAAAUUUUCUCAAUAACUUUAUGUAAAGGAUAGAACAAGAUGAAAUAAGAUAUAAUGCAUUGAGUUGAGUAUAGUGAUAGGCAAAAGUUAUGGUGCAUAAGCCAUUUCCUUAUGCACCGUGCAUAAACACGUCACAAUCAUCAGAUUUCUUUUAUUUUGAACAAAAAUGGUUUUGGCUCACUUUGGAGGUGUAGGAAGCAAUUAUGUUGGGAUUUAUGCACAGUGCAUAAGGAUUUCCUUAUACACCAUAACCACUCCCAUAGUGGUAAAGGCAACUCUUAUCUCAUAAUUUAUAAACCAAAACCAAUAGUUGAAUUCCAAUUGAGAGAUAUGUUCGCAUUUAAUGUAUAAUAUUAUUUCAUAUAUGAUAAUUUUUGUUUAAUUUUUCCGGUAAGUAGAUAAAAUGAUAAAUACCACAUAAAUAUAUCUUAUACGCAAUUGCAAAAUCUCAGGUUCUAAUCCGAAUAAAACUGUCUAACCUAAUAAUAUCAUCAUUAUCCACUUAACUAAGUUUUAACAACGAUAACCUCUAAUGAAGUGAAUUUAUGAGAACCAAAAAAAGAUUUAGGAUGACAUCCAAUUUAUAAAAUUUAAUCUAUUCAAUUUCAUUCCGUCAUGUACCCUUAAAAUCUAAGUAGUCUUUUACAUUCUAAAGUGUUCAUUUAUCUAUUCAAUUUCAUUUCGUCAUGUACCCUUAAAAUUCAAUUAGUCAAUUGCCUUUUAAAGUGUUCAUUAAUAAGUCCUUUUUGUCUUAACCCUUUAAUGUUUAAGAAAAUUGAGAUAUGAUCGUCAAAGUUUGAUUAAAAGGUAAAUAAAAUCCAAUAAUUAAUGGGCAUACAAUCGAACUCGAGUGGUCUUAGUUUAAGCAAACGUAUUCUGUAUCUUUUUAAAGUGCCUCUUUCUUUCCUAUCGCAAAGAAGUAAGUAGAACAUAAUAUCCCAAAAGAGUAAAUAAAUAAGUGGCAACUUAAAUUAAAAUGUAACAAGACUAGCUAUAUACUCCAAUUGACUUAAUAAUACAUAACAUAUUUGAACUUUUUUUUACAUAGAUUAAGAAAUAUGUAUAAAUUAUUAAAAAAAUGUACAAAUAAUAUAAUAAUAUUAUUUUUAUUAGAUAUCUUUUAUUAAGUAUGGAUGCAUUUAUCACUGUUACAAUAACAAAAAAAAAAAAAUUAUAGAGUAAUGCAUAUAGUACUAAUUAAUUAGAGAAUAUAAUUGAAAAAUAAUAAUAAUUUGUCAUUGAAGAUUGAAUGAGUCCAUUCUUCUUGCAAAUAAAUCACUUAUGAGAGGAAAUAUAAUUUGGAGAAGAUUUAAAAAAACACUUUGCCCACCCUAUCACGUAUGAAUCAUAUUGUAUUAUUUGGCUUAACCUUAAGACUGAUUCAACUGUCUCAUUAUUCCUUGUCUUAUGCUGUACUCGCCUACAAUCCCCACAAUGAGAAAGAAUAUAAUAAGGUCAGCACCGAAUUGCUGCAAAACUUUAUCACUUUCCCCACUCCCCACUUGCAUUGCACAUACUUUGACUUUAUAACUACAGUCAACUCAAUACUAUUGCCUAUCUAGCUAGCUUGCCAGUUUGAACUUUGAACAACUUGAUCUAAAUAUCUAUCUAUCUAUAUUAAAUUCACCACGCAAUCCUUACACCAUUUAUAUUUUAUGUUAAUUAUAUAUAUCUAAACAUUAGUUGACAUUUUUCAUAUCAAAACCCUCUUCACAAAAUAUCUUCAAUUAUCUUGAGUUAAUUCAACCACUUGUAAUAAUGGAUGAGCUUGCAUUCUUAAUGGAUUGGGACUUGGAAGCUAUCAAUGAAGUACCAACAACAAACCCUUAUUUUUCUCAUUUAUUUUCUGAACAAGAUCAUGAUGAGUUAUUAUUUGGAAGUUUUCCAGAAUUCUCAAAAACUACUAAUGUCCUUAUUCAUGAAUUUGAAGAGCUUUGUAAACCUAAUUUCUAUCCUCUUUCAUCUCAAACCAUCCUUACAAGUUCUCUAGCUACCCCUAAAGAGCCUGAACAAGUCAAAGAAAUUAAAGCAGCUUCUCAUCAAGAUCUGCAAAUUCCAGCAGUAUCUAAAUUUAAAAAAAGGUAUAAAUUAAAUACGAUCGUUAUAAUCAUUUGCAUAUUGCUCUAGUUAGAAUUUAGAAGUAAUUAGAUUUAAGCUUUUUAUGUUGUGUUUCAAUUUUUUUAUUUUUUAUUUUGAUUGUCUUUGUAUAUAUUUUUGUUCGGAGUGCAUCUAUAGUUAUAUAAUAUUUUCUUUAUACUUAGUUUCAAAUUUAUUUUUUGAGGAAACCUCAUGGAUAAGUGUAAGUCAAGCUUUUAAUUAACCCUAAUUAAGCGGAUAUAGAAUUUUGUAGUUGGUGUAAAUACUAAAAAGUGAAUAUGUUGUUUUUUCAGCAAGAAAAACAAGAACAAGAGUAAUAUUGUGAAGAAAGUAACAGCAGUGGAUGGUACUCUUUGUGAUGCAUGGGCAUGGCGUAAAUAUGGACAGAAACCAAUAAAGGGUUCACCUUAUCCACGAAGCUACUAUAGAUGUAGCAGUUCUAAAGGAUGUUUGGCGAAGAAACAAGUUGAAAAGAAUCAUUUGGAUCCAAAAGUUUAUUUGGUUACAUACACUGCAGAACACAAUCAUCCUCAACCAACUCGAAGAAACUCAUUAGCUGGAAGCACUAGGAAGAACAAUAUCUUAGUUACACAUUCUUCAAAGACACCUUUGGUGAAAAUUGAAGAUGAGGUAAAUGUGACAAGUAUGAAGCAACAAAAUAAGGGGUUUGAGAAAGAUGACCAAGAUCUUCUUGAGUGGUUGGAUGGUGCUCAAUUAUGUGAUGAUGGUUGGAUUCCAAGCAAAGAGCUAGAGGAACUUAUUGGACUUGAUAAUAAGUGUCAAUAUCAAUAACAUGCAGAGAUAUAUAGAUAUAUGGCUGCAGUUUUGGAUUCAGAGAAAAUGAUGAAAUUCAAUAGAAUGAUAUAUCAUUAGAUUUUGUUGUUUUUGGUGUGAACCGAGUAUACUCUGCACGCAACUACAAAAAUUAAUCACGUGAGUCAGAUAUAUGACUCCGAUGAAGAGAUUUAACACUGCAUAGAUUUUGUUGUUUGUAUAUAUUUAGAAUAAAAUUCGAAUGAUAUGGAAAUAUAUUUACUUUUUCAUUUCCAUGUCAUUUAGUUUUUGUUUUUAAAUGAUAUCCUCCACACAUGCAACUUUUAAAACUGAUUAAUAUUUUUUGAAUUACAUUUAAGAGUUGUCUCUCUGAAAUUAUAAUUCUCUAUCUGGAUGAGCUUGGAAUGUUGUAUGAAUAAUGAUCACACAUACUUAAGUGACUGGAUUGCCUACUAGCCGAAAGAUACCAAAAGGUCUUCAAAUUUAAGGGUCUUCAACUUAAAUUGAACAAAUUUAUAAUUCAUUUUACAAACUUUGUAAUAAUGGGUAUCACUUUGUUUAAUGUACAUAUAAAUAGUUAGAUUAUAUCUUUAUAGAGAUCUAAACGGUCUGUAAUAUAUAUAGGGGGAGACAUGGACGUGAAAAUAAUACUGACACUCUUAAAAAAGUAUAAUAUAAAUUUAAUUUCCUUAAUAAUUUAUUUUUACAGAAACUAUUAACUAUUUAACCGAGUAUGGAAAUUUAUGUUUUUUAGGAGAAAAGUAUGAAAAUUAUGUCAUGAUUUAUACUACACAAGAAUGCAUUUUUUAUAAUGAUAUUUUUUUUAGGUUUUUGUUGAAUUUAUAGGUUUGAAGAAGAUCAAAGGGAAUGAGAUGAAAGUUGAAAAACACUCAAUUUUUUUUUUUUUUGAAGUAUCCCGGUGGCUAGAGAAAUUCACAUUAAAGAUGAAUAAGUGGGGUGUCCGGGGUUCGAACCCCGGCCCCUGCACAUAUUGUGCAUUAUCCCUUACCAAAUGAGCUAAGCUCAUGGGGACAACACUCUAGCUAAUUUUAAUUGGGAUAAAACUCUAAAUUAAUUAGGAUAGUUGAAACCUAAUUUUUCCGAGAUGUGGUUUAUGUGUAAAUCAAAUCCAUGAAAAGGAAAGAAAUAAUGUCGGUGUUAAACCAUAUUUAAAAGUCUUUUGAAGACGAGGAAGCGAAGGAUUUUGAGAAUAAUGAAUUUUUUUAGUCUCUGAAGUUUUGUUUGCGAGUUUAGAGGGUAAGGGAAGGAAAUGCUUGGUAAAAAAUGGAAGGAGUAAGUGGAAGAAAUAUAAGACAUCAGAAGGAGGGACUUUGGGGGCUUAUUUUUCUUCAAAAUAUAAAACCCUCCUCAUUUGGGAAACUAAAAAAUUGUAUUGGAGGAGGGUCGGGGUUUGGGAAUUGCGAGAGUUUAUAUGAAUUCUUCAAAUUUAAUAUAUGUUGUUAUAAUAUUCUUAAAAUUAAAAAUAUAUUAAUCAUAAGUAUUAGGGUAAAUGUGUCAAAAAAAAAAAAAGUAUUAGGGUAAAUUACAUUGACCUACAAACACCCCCUCUAAUUUUCUAAAUUCACUUACCUCCCCUCUUUUUUAAAUGGUCAAACGUCUGUUACAAACUAUGGCUUUCUCGUUUCCAUUAUUCACCAACCAGGGCAAGCUUACAACCCAUGGCUCUCAAUUCAAUUCAUUUUCUGUUAAUUUUUUUUUCCAACCAUCAAUUUCAUAUUAUCAUCAAGUUUGCUAUGAUGCAUCUUCAUAUUAUCAUCAAAUUAUUCCCCCAAUUUGAAUUUUUCUUCAUUAAUUCAAUUCAAUUUUUUAUAGGUUGAUUAUAAAUACUUUUAGUUAAUAUUGCAUUACUUGUACCAAUCGCUUCAUAAGACAAACGAGAGGCUUGAAGUAGAGCAACAAGGCAAUAUUGAUGCUCAUGCCAAACUAGGGAGUGGUGCUCAGAAGGAUCAAUUCAAGAAUCAAUUGAAGUAGUACCUCCCAAUUUCAGCGUCCUUAAAACUGCACCAAAACUUUUUGCAAAUGAUCCUUUUAUGUUUUCAGUUUGACGAUAGGUCCAUGAAACUGUGGGUGAAAGGAAAAAAAAAAAACAAAUUAACGGAUGUGUUAACACCGUUAACAUAAAAAGGGAUGGUUAGUCUAUUUUACGAGAACUUAAGGGAGGUUAGUGUAAGUUUAAAAAUUAGAGGAGAUGUCAGUGUCAUUUUCAUAGACCUCAGGGGAGGUGAGUGUAAUUAUCCCUAAGUAUUAAUUUAUCACUUUUUAAAAAAGUACUCUUUCAAAAAAUGUGAAAUAUAAAUAUUUCUUAAUUUCCCCCUAUAUUUCUCUCCCCCCUCAAAGCAUUUCCUUCCUGUUUAUCUCCAAACUCCCAAACAAAGUCGUGUACUCGUGCGUCCUUAAUGAAAUUGGAGGCCUAACUCAUCCUUAAAAACCGGUUCAUCAGGUGAGGAUUGUCUCCUCUAUAUAAACUCUUAUCAGGAUUAUCUAUCCGAUGUGGGACAUACCCCCGUCACGCCCAACACUCUUUGGGCUUUGGUGCGUGAAUCGGUAGGUGGCCCUUGAAUUCGACAGACUCUGAUACCAUAAUGAAAUUGGAGGCAUAACUCAUCCUUAAAAACCGAUCAUCAGGUGAGGACUGUCUCCUCUAUAUAAACUCUUAUCUAUCUAAUGUGGGACAUGAGUUUUUCCCAAUAUUCCUAUCAUUUGGAUCUUAAAAUUAAAAAAAAAUGUGAAGUUUUUGAAUGUACGAAAGGGAGAAGGGAAAAAAAGGGUUCUCAUCAGAAACACAAAAACCAAAUGCUUCAAUUCAACCUCUAUCUCUAUUAUGGUACAAUUAUAUUGUAAAUAAAGAUACAAUUCAUACAAAAAAUAUUAUAAAGGAUAAAUUCGAAAAAAUGGUGAAAACUUGAAAAUAGCCGACAAUAAUUUGCCAAAAAUAUACGUACAGCCAAUGAAAAUAUCACAUCUGGUUCGAUAUUAUGCUCAGCUUCAAUUUGAAUUCAAACAUAUAGCAUUCCAUUAAUAUAUCAUAUUUUCCUUCAAAAAUUAAUAUAUCAUAUUUAUAUUCUAUUAUAUACUAAUUCUUCUCAACCUUGUAAGAAGGCAUCCCUGUUUGAUCCUUUUUUUUUUUUUUUUAUAGAUAUAAAAGUAUACUUUAUUCCUUGAAAAAAAAGUAUACUUUAUUUCAUUUACCCAAAAAAAACUAUUUAUAACGAGAAAUUCUUCCUAAAAAAAAGAGUGAAAUUCUUAAUUCCUACUAGUACAAGAAAUCGUAUACAUCUUCACCAAAGAAAGAAAGAAAUCAUAUGUAUCAUUACGUUAUGUUUUUUUGUUGGAUAUAUGAAAUAUGAAAUUUAAUAUCUAAUUAUUUAUUUCAUAUGCCAUUUUUUUUUAUGUUUUGUUAUUAAUUUAAAUUUUGAAUGAAUUUUAUUUAUUUAUUGAUAUACAACAAAUUAAUCUCUCUUUUUUUGGUAGUGUAACAAAUUAAUCUCUAAAAUAACUAAAACUUUUUCAUUUUUCCUUCAAAAAAAAAACUUUUUCAUUUUAAAUUUAAUAAGGGCAUCUCUAUUUAUUAUUUUACCCGACUUCUUAAUUUUAACGGUUGCACACAAAUGAUAUUCUUUUCACCAAAAAAAACUGGUUCCAUGAAUUUUAUUUUUUAUUUUUUGUCCUAGUUUUCAAUUAUUCCCUUUAACGUGCAAGAAACUUGUACUAGCAAGUCCUUCAAAAAAAAAAAAACUUGUACUAGCAAGUGGGACGUCAAUUCACCGACUUUCCAGCUCAGCUGCCAACCCUUCAACCGUAAAAGAAAAUGACAUUUGAGCCUUUUUUUUUUUUUUUUUCAAAGACAUUUUGAGUUUUUGACUACAAAAUCUAAACAAUUAUCUUCUUAGCGCAUUUUUUAAUUUAAAAUGUGAGGAAAAAAAAAUGAGAACCUAUACUGUAUACUUCACAAGUUAGAUUAGUCACAAUUAAACAUUUACACAAGUUAGAUAAGUCACAAUUAAACAUCGAUAAAAAUUUCGUAUCUUAGUAACCAAAAAUCAUAUAUAUGAAUUUGAUUACUAUCCAAAAUAAUGUAAAAACAAUUGCAUAGAAUUAUAUUUCAAAACACACACACGAGAGAAAGAUAUUUUCAAUACCUCCAAUGAUUUUAUUUACUCAAUGAGGAAAAAUAUUGUAAUGUGUAAAUUUAGACUGAACAAUGUUUAUUUUCUAUUUGGAUUGGUAAAGAUAGACGCGAGUGAUUUUUGUGAAUCAAGAAGGGAAGAAGAAACUCCCUUCAAUUAAUAUGCAACGAAAGUGUUGAAAAAUAUAUCUUUCGUUUAAAUUGGGUCAAGGUCUAUCGAGAUCAGGCUUCGCUUAAAGGAUCCCUCAUAUCUCGUGAGCUUAACUCAGUUGGUAGGGAUAUUGCAUAUUAUAUGCAGGGGCUGGGUUUCGAACCUCGGACACUCCACUUCUCCACAUUUAAAUGUGUGAGCUUCAGCCACUAGACGACUUGACAAUUAAAAAAAAAGAUCCACUCACAUAUGUAUAGGCAUGAUCACUAUAUGAUCAAGAUUAGAUUGUGAACAACUUCAGAGGAAUUUCUAUUGAUUUUUCUAAAUAACCCUACUAUAAAAAGAGAAGACAUUUGCACUCGAGAAAAGCACACAGUAUUCUCACUAUCUCUUACUCGUUUUAAUCUCUCAUUGACUUGAGCAAUAGAGUAAUUGCAAAUUUGCAACUACAUUGCCCCCAAGUCUGAGAGCUCUUGUCGUUGUCCUCCCUCGUAUUCUAAUAACAUUGGUUGUCAUUUGAGAUCCACCUCGAAUCAACCGUCAAUUAACUAUAUUUCACCAUAUUAAUACUUUAUUAUUACUAGUGAAACAUGGCCGUCUAUCCGUUUUUCUACUGCAAUUAAUUGCAUAUUAUUAUGAUCAAAUUUUUUUGACAAAGAUUAAAAUAAUCUCUUUUAAUAGUAUGAAAUAGCGUUCUUAUUGUUUAUAUUUUAAUGAUAUUUAACUAAUUUUUCAUUAAAUAAAUUGUGGUGCUUAUGUUUUUCAGAAGGUACAUUUGCUACUUAUGGAAUGGAGGAAUAGCUAGAGACUUUAUGGGCAUUUUCUUUGUCUUUUAUUGUCGUAUCGGGUUGUUGCUAUGUACUACAAGCAGAAUUAUGGGCAGUUCACUUGGGGUUCAAGUUCAACAAUAGCUGCUAAAGAAGGGCAAUUCGUUGGAGUAAAAUUCCCAAUUGGCUGUUAAUUUAAUUAAGGGUGGCUACAUCUCACUCAUGCUUCAAGUUGCUGCCUAACAUUUAGAUUAUUAUGGCUCAACAGUUAGAGGACUCAUCUUUUGAGAGAGGCUAAUCAAGUUGCGAAUUGUCUAGCAAAAUUUGACAUUUCUUUAGAUUUUUGUAUAUUUUAUAAUUUCACGUCUAAUGUUUUUUUUUUCUCAUGGUUUUUUUGUGUAGUUUCUUGGUAGGAGCUUUUCCCUUUAUUUUCCAAAAAAGAGUUCAUCCUUUGUUUUUGAAUAACAGAGUGGAUUCUCUCCAAUGAAAAUCCAAUUAAAUCUGGAUUAUGCGAAACAUAGAUUAAAAAAAAUAUAUAAGAAAAAUAGGGAUCGUGUAUUUUAUUUGUGAGGAUUGACAAAUGAGAAAAACCAAGUGAUAAAUACAACCCGAAAAAAUUCACUCCCUUAUACACCACAAGUUAUAAGCCUAAAUCAAUACAUCAAUUUUCUUUCCCUCAUUUUUACUUAUAUUUCGUUACAAAUGAAGUAUUUUCCAAAAACACACUCGCGCACACACUUACACCUUCAUUUCUCACUUAAUGGAUUAUCUAAUUCUGCAUAUUCACGUGGUUCCACAUAAAAACUCUAGCAUUGUUUAUAAAUCUUAAAUUGAAUCUUUUGGGUGCACAUUAGUUUAUCUUCCAUACUAUUUCAGAAUUAUUGUAGUAUCCAACUUUCCCUUCAAAAAAGCAUUAAGGAAUAAAGGCAUUGUAUUGCUUGUUUAGUUGCAUUGCUUUUGUUCAAUCAAAGUCUCAACGUGUACAUCGGUAAACACACUAUUCUCAUUCUCAAUAAAACUUCAAGAGAUGCUAAAGGCCCUGUCUGUACAAAUGUUGACGGGGAAAAUAGAACGAAUGACUUCUGUAAAAUACAGAAGAGAUCAACUCAAUUUGCUCUAAUAAUAUAAAUUAGGAAAGAAAAAAAAAACUGCACAAGCCUCUCUGCUCACUAACAAAACUAACAUUUCCCGUUAUUCUCGAGAAACUAUUUAACUAUUUUAUAUGCAGUGACCAAAUUGACAAUCCCAGUGGUGACUCAUUUUGAACGAUUUUGUGAUUAUUUGGUCCAUCACAAUUAGUUUGCAACAAUUCAGAAAUUGCAAGGCCCCUUUUCUUCUUUUGUCAGUAUUUUCUCAAAAUGAUAGCCAAAUCACUAAAACCAUCCAAUUGGCUUCCGGUUCCGCCCAAAACAUUCCUUUUUAAAGGACUUCCUGAGGAGCAUCACUAAGUGGAACUGAAUCCAUAUUUGCUUAUCUCAAUAAAUCCUCAAAUGUAGUGUUGAAUUUUAAGUGCUUCAAUGAAUAUCUCCUCCAAAAGCACUCUAGUAUGAGCAGAUUAAAAAAAAAACUUCUGUUGCUUGUUUGAGCUGCUAUACAUGCUAAAGGUACAUUUCACACAGAGCCUCAACUAAAACUGUGAAAUCACUGAAAUUUCCACCACCGCUACAACUGAAAAGUGCCCAGUUCAUUACCAUGCCUUGUAAGAAGUACUUUCCGUUCCGCAACCCAUUCUAAUCGAUAAGAGAGGUCCAGAUUAUGAAGCAAUUGCUUCAAACUGUCCACAUGAUUUGAAUCCUUUGCAUUAUUCUACAAAAGGAAAUAUUGGUGGUAUUACGGAAAAUGAUAAAUAGAUUUAAGGAAAUAGUAGUAGAUGACUUGAUGACCACUAAUGAUGGUAAAAAGCAGUACAUCAUUCAUCUCAAGCUAUCUAGAUGAUGUGGCAGCGGAUCUUUAUUAUUUAUAUUCAUGCAUUUCAACCAAUUCAAUGUAUUUUAGCAUGCUUUCAAUCAACUUUCUAUUAGGCUCUCAUCACGUGCUGCUACCGAGUUUAAAUGAAAAAAGGGUUUUCAACUUAGCAAUGGACAUUUCUUUCUAAAUAAUAAUUUAUAAAACUCGUUGCAUUUUCCCUCAGGCACCAGUACCUGGCAAAAGACCAAGUUCUAGUUUCACUCGUUACACAUCAGUUUUAUAUCUGAAAGAAGACAGCAAAAGAAGAAAGCAAAAGUACCUGCAAAUUAAGCUGCUUUUCAGUAUCCAAAAUGCUGGCCAUAAUGCUUGACCGGGAUGAAUUAGGUGAGAAUCCCUCCCAAGGAGGAACAAAUAUUAAUUUUGUGCACUGGACAGGAACAAAGUUCCGGCUCAGUUUCUCAUACCAGAAAGAUCCCAGUGACCACCAUCUAAUCAUAAGCCCAUGUUCCGAAAAAGCAACCAGCCCCUAUAGGGAAGAAUGUUUAAAGGUGUAGGAGGGAAUCAAUUAUCAGUUUAAGAUAUUUGUAGGAAAAAUCAAUCCCAGGGAAAAUAAUUUCACAGUAAACUAAAGAGAAACAAAACAUUUGGCAUAUAAUGGGGAUAUCAUGGCAGAACUGUUAUUGUAAGGAGCUCUGUUGAUGCAAUUACUAUGAGUUACAACUUCAAAUGGAAAAGGCAAAACAGUAGCAUACUAAGGAAGAUGACUAAUUUCUUUUCAAAAUGAUAUUAUUCGAAAGGGAGAGUACAGCACAGGCUAAACGAGCCCAUAUGGUUCGCAUAACAUAACAGUUCUGGAAAAAUGAAAAAAGAAAAGAGGGCAGCACUCUAAGAUUUUGGGGAAAAAUUUGAUAUAUGAAGUCAAGCUUUUCAACUGGUUUAAAUUGCUACAAUCAAGCACGAUGAACCAAUAUGGAAAACUCAAGUCACAGCAACAAAAUAGUGAAUAAGAAUGGCUAGAAGCCAGAAGGCUAUCACCUAUCAGGAUUCCGGAAGUAUGUUGUACUUCUGAGGGUUCCUCUAUUACUCUCCUAAUUCCUAGUAGUUGUUGAAGUAAAUCUCAACUAUUUUCUUUCCCAUGUAUUGUUUAAUAACAGUAAGGUAAUCAAUAACAUAUGGUGGUUGAAGCAAAAAAAAUUAGUUUAUUUGUCACAUAUAUCAGAGUACGGAGUUGAUGUAAAGAUUCUGAGUAAGACCAAAUUUUGAUACAUAAAUACUUGGUAAGCUAAUUCUAAACCCAUCAACAAGAGGCCAGUUUUACAGGUGGUCCAUGAUUGAGCAGUACGUGAAAAUCGUCUGAAACUUUAACGAUGACUUACGUUGGCUCUUGAAAAUAGAAACUCAUGGUCCACCUUGUUAUAAUGUCUGAGUGAGUGACUUGAGUGAAUUCACAAAAUCAAGAAAAACAAAUGCGUCUCAAAGCUCAACUCAUAUUUGUUUGCUCUUGUUUUUGACAAACUGGCAUUACCGUCUUAGUCAUGAAAACAAAGAAGACCAUGAGCUUCUAAUUCUAGAGGGUGACAUCAGUCGUCAUUGGUGUUUUGGGCAACUUUCAACUACUGGUUCACCAUGGGUCCCCUGUAGAACUUGCCCCAACUAGAACAUAUAAAAAAAACACCAACAAUGUAAAAUAAGCAUAAAAAAUUCUUAAGUACCUCUCCAUCUGGUGAAAAGCUUAGUGCUGAGAUUGCAGUAGUUAACACUGCUCCUGAAGCGGUUGCGGUGAGCAAACUAGGAAGUCCUGGAGGUCCACUUGCAUCCAAAACCUUUAUCAUUGUUACACUGCAUAAAAACAAAGGCUUCCAUUAUAGAGAAUUAUUAUCUCUUCAGUCAUCAGCGCAAAUAAACACAAGCAGAUAAUAAUCUGAAUCAGAUUUCGUAAGUUUCAAAAAAGAAGCAUUAAGGUGUAUUUUUUUGAGAGGGGGCAAGGAGUUUAACAAGUUGUAAGUGCAAUUAUCAUAUGCCGUUCUUAAUUAUCCUCAUCCAGCCUACAUUAUCCACGGCCAACGCAUUGUAUUUAAUAUAGACUCAAGUCACAAAAGAUUUGAAAUUGGAAUUUAAGAAGUUAUGAUUUACAAAUGUUUAUAAUGGAGUUGAUUAAAAAAAAUUAAAUUACUCAUGCUUAUAAAAUCAAUAAUCGAAUUUUUCAUUAAAGAUUGAAAUUUCUUCCUUUUACCUUUAAGUGAAAUCCAUUAUAAACCAAGAAAAUCCCCAUUCAGCUAUUCAAGAUUAGCAGCAAGUAUAAGGCCACAAGACUUGUUUUUUCCUCAAAAAUAGCAUGUAGUUAAUAUUUCUCUUCAAAUUUUCAUUCCAAUUCCAUCCAAUCCCCAUCCCCACCCACAUACGACACAAAAUGAUACAAAAUCAAGUUAAGUGCACUUGUCUCAAGUACAUGUGUGACAGAACUAACAAUGACGGGGUAUCUACAUAUUGUCAGCCUAAAUCCUGAAUUUAAAAUUACAUUCUUUUUUCCUAAUCCUGAUACCUUUGCAUAUCAUAAACCCUAAUGCUUGCAUUGUUAACCUCUCCAAUCACAUCUCCAACUGCUAGUCUGGUCCAAGACUCAUUGACAGCAACCAUAGGAUAUACACGUACAACUUCUUUAAAAGUUGUCCAGGAACUCUGGAAGCACGCCUUCCGCAAGACUGAGUUGCUAGGAUCUAUAGUCUGUAAAAUGAAGUUGACAACCUGCAGAUCUGACCCACUGUCACGGAAAUUCAUGCUUUCAUGUGUUGAAACAGUUAAGUAGUAUGUAAUUUGAAACUCAAGGGAUGAGAAAACUAUUAACGAAAACAAGAUGCCACUCAAAAUAGAGAAUCACUCAGCACCUGACCACCAAGAAUAGAAUCUAAUAGCAAAAGGUGAUAAAAGAGAUAACCAAGAAUGGGAGUUUCUAAAUACGAGUACACAAACCUACCCACAAACAUGCUUUGAUCUAAAAUGAAUAACUGAUAAAGAGAGACAAAUAAAAACAUUUACAAGAUAUAAAUACUAAAUAGUUCUAGCAGUCAACAUAAAUAUAUUGCAAAUAAACACUUGGGAUCAAAAGAUAAUAAAUCUCCCAUAUAUUGAUUUUUUCAGAAGGAACAAAAGAGGCCAUAUUUCAAACAUCAAAGCAUCAUCAUUUCUCUCUUUCCAAUUGUUCUACGUAAAUAAUUCUAUCCAAAUAAAACUAAUUCACCUAAAGGAACUAGUCUGAAAUAAGAAAUGCUAAUACUGUGUUCAAUUUCAAAGAUUCACAUCAAUCAAAUGGUAAUUGAAAAGUAUGUAUUAAUGAACAGCUUGAUGUAGAUAUUGAACAGAAAGGCGAAGUUCAGUGAAAAAAUCAUCCUAGAACUAGAAGCAGCAAGAUGAAUCUAUCUGAAAUAUCAAUGAAAAAUCCAGUCAGUGCUGAUGAAAGUGGCUUUACAAACCUUGUCAAGGUACUGGGCCAAAUAUCUUGGAGAACCACGCAUAAUCCUUAUGAGAGUCAACAAGGAUACCAUGUGGACAGGUGAAUCAGACGCUGUUGACCAAAUUUGGCUUUCGAUCACUGUCAAAAAGCCUGGUAUAUCAGCCAUAGCUAAACUUGGAAGGAGAACCUCCACCAAAGUCUGUUUAAUAGAAAAAGAUGCAGGUGGAAUUUCUGUCAAUGACUUGGAAGACGGGCCACUCAACUCUACUUGGAAAAAAAUAUCUCCAAUUAGACGAGGAAUCUCAGAGACCAUGCAUUCUUUCCACGUGCUCUCCAUGCCUUCUGCAAGGAGCUCAGCAGCAGUGGAGCUGUACUUCUCGUUCAUGGACAUAGCCAACUUCAUUAAUGGAUGAACAACUAACGUGGAAAGCCUAGGUUUUACAAGACUAGGAUACCAGAUAGCCAGUGCAGCAGCAACAAUAAUGUGAGAUGUCAUUGCAUCUUGACUUGUUCCACCAACACAAGAAAUCCAAUCUUGCACUUCAUAUGAUUCUAGCCAAGUCAGUAUCUUGGAUUCCUCAUCUUGGGACAUUCCUUGUUUUUCUGCCUUAGGAGAUAUCCUUUCUACUAUCACAUCUCCCAGAUGUUUGUCUCUACUUCCAGUUUGGGAGAUUGUAUUAAUUGACUCACUAGGUUUUGAAUUGCAUAGAGGUAGAGGAAUAGCAUGAGAGGCAGCACAGUGAAAUAUAGAGCGUGCAGCCAUACGUACAUGCUCACUUUCAUCUUGCCAAAAAGCCACCAAAAGCUGUAAAAAGAGGACAGCUUUCAGCACUUGAUAUCAAUCAACUAGCAAAUGGUUUAAUAACACACAGUUCACAAACACUAUAAACUAACCAUAAUAUAACAAACUACAAUACAGUCCAGCAUCUGCAUUAAUCACUCUGAUGAAGAUGAUGAUAAUAAUAAUAACAUCAUAGGGAACAAUAAAAUAUUUUUUAUUUUAUUUUUACAAUAUCUUAUGCGGCAGCAAAUAGUAUGGACUAGACUUCCAAAUUUGAAGCUAUUUCAGACACUCGGGAAACACAGACAAAGCUCCUAAAAAAUUAGCUUGUCUCAAAGCAUUAAAUUAAGAGUUAAUAGACAUUGACCCUUAAUUUUCUUCAGAGUGCAUCAUGAUCUUAACCCACUAAAAUUUAAAAGCAAAUGUCACUUUAAAGGAGCCUUUUCAUGAAAUGAGUGUUUCUCCUAGGUUUAAACUAUCCUACAGUGCCCACCCCUCUAAACUGCAUUUUUAUUUGUUUUUUGGGGACUUCAUUAGCGAAGUGUCGCAUUUUUUAUGGGGCGGGGAGAAGAAUUGUUAAUCAUGCCACCUAGUUGUACACCAAAGUACUAACUGACUAUACCAGUACUUUACACAUACAACAACCAAGUCUUUUUCCCAUGAGGAUACAUAUAUGAUACUACUUUUGAAAUAAUCAUGCUUCAUAAUCGUUGGCAUCAACUACCACACUCAUCUUGGCCAAAUAACAUUUUUACAUUGACAUAUGUCUAAACUAUUUUUUUCAGUAGUUUCACUUUUCUUCUU
rnacentral:lncRNA from 1 species